UUUUUUUUUUUUUUUUCUCUUCUCUCUUCCAUGUUUUAUUCUAUGAGGAAAAAAAUAAAGUAGAAGAAACUUAAAACAAAGCAAAGCAAAAGCAAAGGAGAUUCUCCUCGUGACAAGUGUCACUGAUAUUCCCUUAUUUCGUCCCUCUGAAUAUCCCUUUUGUCUGGUGUCAAUAUCUAUAUAAUAUAUUUUUAUUUAUAUACCCCCCCCGGAAUAUUCCCCGCCCUUUUUCUUCCUUUUAUUUUUCUUAUUUCCCUAAAACCAUAUUAACAAUACUCGACAAUAGACCAUGGGGGCUCUCUCUAUAAACCUAUAUACAUUAGAAAAAGAUGGACAUUAAUAAUAUUACAUGUUUUUCAAUUAAAAAAUGUACAUUUUAAAUUAAUAGUAACAAGUCACAGUAGGAAGAAAAAGAGAAAAGUGUGAGCCUAGCAAACUUGCAAUUUAUACAUAGCACUACUUUUCAUUUUUUACACCAAUCCUGUAAUUAUAAACUACAUAUCAAUUGUUAAUUUUUUUAAAAUUGAAACGUAAGUAAAUACAAAACAUAUAUUAAAUGCAUAACGUGAAAUUUAGCCUUUAAAGUUCUUUUUAAUUUGAUUUUUAUUUUUAAGCUAAAUAUAGUCCUUAAUUUUAGAGAGAAAAAAAAGAGUAAUAUUUGACCAUCAACAUUUUAAAAAAAGUUGAAUUGUUGUUUUCUUUGACAUAAAUAUGGACUAAAACGUUAAAUUUUCAAACAUGGCAACUCGUGUCGCAAUCCACAAGCGCUUCAUGAUAAUUUUUUUGAAUUUUAAUGAGCUUCUUAUAUAUUUUUCUUGAAUUUUUCAUUUAUAUUUUUUUGAAUUUUAAAUUAUUUGUUAACAUGACAUAUAAGAUAAUAGUGACAUGUCAAAAUGAAAUAUAUGUGGAAUGUCACACAAUUUGCCAUGUUGAUAUCGUUAAAAAAGUAAUGUUUUAAUCAGUAUUUCCGUUAUUAACAAAAAAUAUAUAUAUAUAAAUGUUGAAUACCUAUAUUAAAUGCAUAAUAAUAAUCAUGUUUAAAUAUCAAAGACCGGAGGAACUCAUAUAGUUCAAAUACAUAGCUAAAUUCAUUUAGCUAAGAAAUAAGACAAUUGAAUUUGGAUUACGUGUGAUAUUUUAAUUUCCAAAUCUUACAAUCUAAUGUAGCAUAUGUAGGAUAAAUUAUUCGGCCUUUGCGGCUAUUCCAUAGCAAAUUUUUAUCCCUCACUCGUCAACCUAUAUAAUGAAAGUUCCUUCUUAUUUUGUUCAAAAAAUAAAAUACUUAUUCUAAUAAAAUAAUUUUAGAUAUUUUAUCAAUUGAGUUUUAAUUGGAAUGUCAUGAAUAUUGUUGUCAAUAUAGGAGGACGUGGGUUCGAGUACACUGAAGCACAUUAUCCUCUUAUUUAUAGGUUGGAAGGGAUUAUGAGUAGUUCCAGAUAUAUUAUGUCAAAAAGAACAGAUAUGAUCAGAAUCUAAUUGUUAACAAAUAAAAUGAUUUUAAGUAAUUAGAAUUAAUUCAAUUAGUAAAUUAGGGGGGACUUUUGGCAGUUAAUAUUAUAUGGAUCGAGUAAUAAAAAUUUUAAAGAUGAACAUGCAUUGGCUGUGAGAUUGCAGGCUCACAUGGUGUGGAUUUAAGUUUGUUUGUUGGAUUAAUUGAGCAAAAGCGUAUCUGCAAACAGCCUAUCCUCUACUUUUUAUCAUACAAUUUUUUUGUUUUUGAAAUACACUUUUUAUCAUACAAUUAGGACCACUAUUUAGAGUGAUAUAAAAAAAGAAAAAAGAAAAAAAAGGAGAGUCUAUGUUAUGGAGAGAAGGGGUUUCAAUUUAAAAGGCAAAGUUUCCAAUUUAUGCUCCAAUUGGGUAUUUGGUAAGAAAAAAAGAAUAGUAGGAUCCAAAGCUUAUAAAUAAUAAAUGAAAAGGGGUUAAAAAUUAAUUAAAGUAUUCCAUAAAAAAAGUAAUCUUGAUAAAGAAAAAGAUAAUUGUUUUUUUAGGAAAAAAAAAAUUCCAUUUCAAGAUUAAGGUAUGUUGCAAUUCAAGACCAAUUAUAGGGACAGUCCACAACAAAAUAUCGAAUCUAAAUCUUGUAAGUGAAAUUUAAGUUCACUAACUCGACCAAUCAAUUUAAUUAAUUAAUUAAUUAAUACAAAGUGAAAAGUCUAAUUUUAGAAUUUGACAUCGAUUCGUUCUUCCCUAUUUGAUCUAAAGUGACAAGCAUGUUCUUGGCUUCUUCUCUUUUUCAUUUGGAAAAUUUAAUAUUUUUUAAUAUAAUGAAAUGAUUUUGUUAAAAAAAUAAUUGAAAUAAUCCGUCAUUAUUUGAACUACUUUAACUAAUUAUAAUUUAACUCAUUUCUUAGAUACUGGAGAUGAGAUCAUUAGUCUUCUAACGGCCUAAUUAAUGCAAAUAAACAACUUAAUUAAAUAAUUAAUCUAAUGAUAAAGAAUACAAAUCACAAACCAAAUAAAUGUGAUCAGAUAUACAAAAGAAGAAGUCAAUUUUGUAUCAAUACUGUUGGAAUGUUCCGUUUUAGUAAUAAAUUGGGUCCGUAUCAAUUUGAUGUAAUACUUUAAACUAAUUUUAAGUAUUUUUCUCUUAUUUUUUAUAGUUUCGCUUAAAAAUAAAACAUAAUAAUCUAUUAAGUUAUUCAACAUAAUUAAUAAUUUUAAAAUUAAUAUUUUUACAUAUAUGAAAAAUAUUUAAGAAUAUUAAUAAAUCCAAAAAAAAAGAAAUAUAAAAUUCAAUUCCUCUUAAUGGAAAAAAAAAAUCUGAACUGAAUUAUCAAUAAAAUUCGAUAGAAGAAUUCAAAGUUCCAUACAACUUUGAAAGAAGGAAAUAAUUAAAAGAAUGAAAAAGAAACAACGACGACGAGCUCUCUUUUUUUUUUCUUCUUCUUCUUCUUCUUUCAUGUAUAUCUUUAUAUGAUAUGAAAGAUUCUUAAGCUUUGCGGAAAGGCAGUGAUGUUUACAUUUACGGGUUGUAAUGUAUUAUGUAAGUGUUGAAAAAAAUGGAAUCAUCAAAAUAGGGAUUGGUGGUUCAAUGUUCUAAUAAAUUCCCUAAUUCACAUAGGAUAGAUUCGUCGUCGUUUGCUUUGGCAUCAGAAACUUGUUUAUUGUUUAUAUAAAAAUGUUAUAUAUUGCUAUCUAGCUGUAUAGGGAUUUGCAUGAUUUGGAUUCUUGAUGCAAGCUUAUCUUAAUGUACAUAUAAAAAAAGAAGUUUGUGCUUUUCUUAGUUUUGUUUGAUUGAAAUCAUUUACUUUUUUGGAUGAUGAGAGCCGCAGUAAAGGAAAAAAAAGAAAAGAAAAAAGAGAAUACUAAAACUGAUAUAUUAAUACAAAAAUAUUUUCCAUCUUUACUAAAUAGUGGGGUUUGACCAUAAAUUUAGAAUAGGAAAAAUAAAUAAAUAAAUAAAUAAAUACAAAUUAGCAAUAGCCAUUAGCAUCGAAAGCAAGAGAGUGGAGAAUGGAAUUAGAAUAUCUUUGGUCGGCCUCUUACCUAAAAGACGAGUUUAAAAGGCAGGAACUAGAGUGUAGAUGAAGACUGGAAUUUUGUAAUAAUAAAUAAUUUUGACCUGUUGUUCUCAUAAGUGUCAACACUAAAUACAGUUAAUUUCAAUUAUUAAAAAAAAUCCAAAAAUUCCUUACCUAAUUUAAUGUGUCGCACGCAUUCUUAUCUGUUCAUGGGUAGAUCAAAAAUCUUUUAAUUAUCUUUUCAUUCCAGUCUGUUAUAUUUUAUAAUUAAAAAUAAUAAGAUCCAAAUUAUUGUGAAAAAUGUAAUAAAAGGAGGAAUAUAUUAUCCGUGAUUUUUCACUACCCCAUUCAUUAAUAAUUUCUUUACGUGAAGUGGGAGGGAAACUAAAACUGCAGACCACCAAUCAUGAUAAUGAAAAUGAUAUUAUUAAUUCUAGACUCACCUUAUUUCACUAAUUAAAUCUAUCAAUUCAAUAUUUCACACUCAUGGUAGGUUAAACAAGGAAAAGUUUGCCUUUGCGGCUACGGCAGUAGGCUAUUGGGCCCUGUAUGGGGUCUUAAGGGAUUCUUGAAGGCCUGUAACAGAUAGUAGGCUGAUUUCUAUGAACCCAUUGUUGUAAACAGCCUAGUAUAUCUUCCACUUUAAUUACUUGACAUUUAGAGAAAUUUAUAGAGUUUAAAAAAAAAGAAAAAAAAAGAGAGAUUCAUUUACGAUUUCGUCUUUAAAAUUAAAAUAAAUAAUAUCCGCUUAAAGUAGUGAUUGGGUUUUUCAAAUCUUAAUAUUAUAUUUUUUAAGAGAUAGUUGCAUAGAUUUUAUAUAAAUUAUUAAAAAAAUAAUUAAUCAUAUUUAUUCAUUAUAAAAAAACAAUAUUUUAAAUUUUCUAUUUUAAAUUAAUAUAUAAUUUACUCGUAACACUAAAUAUAUCCAUGAGAUGACAUGUUUUCUUUCAGCUUGAUGGUAUAAUAAUUAAAUAUUUUCACUAAGAAUUGGGUCCCAAUAUUUUGUGGGCCCAAGGUUCAAAUCCAUCACAAUUUUGAUUGCUGGAUGAUAAACUUAUCUUCUUCUUCUUUUCCUUUUGGUGAAAGGAAAGAGUCGUUGAUUUCUCAUGAUGAAACCAUCCUUCCCGCUUCCCCUUACAACAAUCACUCUUCUUCUUCAUUACUUGCUGCAUGGCUUCGCUUCCUUUCACAACCCCCAAAUUUUCUCAUUUCAAGUUAUCAAAAACAAUCAAAUCCUUCAAUUCAAAUGAGCCAAUUCAUCUUACACAACUCAAUGGAACCACCAGAAAUCAUCAUACUUUGUAUAAAUCUUACUUCCACACCAUAUCUUCACUUUGCAAAGAUGGCGAAAUUCAACAAGCUGUUGACUUACUCACUGAAAUGGACUCUAAAAACCUAUCGGUUGGACCUGAAAUAUACGGCGAAAUCCUUCAGGGUUGCGUUUAUGAACGAGAUCUUUUCACAGGUCAGCAAAUUCAUGCUCAAGUUCUAAAACACGGUGCUUUCUUUGCACGAAAUGAGUAUAUCGAAACAAAGUUGGUUAUUUUUUAUGCAAAGUGUGGUGCUUUUGAUGUUGCUAAUAAUUUGUUUAGUAGAUUGAGGGUAAAGAAUGUGUUUUCCUGGGCUGCCAUUAUAGGACUCAAGUGUAGAAUUGGGUUAAAUGAAGAGGCUUUAAUGGGGUUUUCUGAGAUGCAAGAAAAUGGGUUUUUGCCAGAUAAUUUCGUGGUCCCUAAUGCAUUGAAAGCUUGUGGUGCUUUGUUAUGGCUUGGGUAUGGGAAAGGGGUUCAUGGGCAUGUGGUGAAAGUGGGUUUUGAUGGGUGUGUCUUUGUUGCAAGUAGUUUGAUUGAUAUGUAUGGAAAAUGUGGGGCUUUGGAAGAUGCAAGGAAAGUGUUUGAUGCUAUGAUUGAGAGGAAUGUAAUUGUUUGGAAUUCGAUGAUCGUUGGGUAUAUGCAAAAUGGGAUGAAUGAGCAAGCAAUUGGGGUGUUCCAUGAGAUGAGAAUGGAAGGUGUGGAACCUAGUCAGGUAUCCAUAUCGAGCUUUUUAUCGGCUUCAGCUAAUUUAGGUGCAAUAGGUGAGGGAAAACAGGGGCAUGCCAUUGCUGUCUUACAUGGAUUCGAAUUGGAUAGCAUUUUGGGUAGUUCUGUUUUGAAUUUCUAUUCCAAGGUUGGUUUGAUUGACGAUGCCAAUCUAGUUUUCGAUAAGAUGCUUGAAAAGGAUGUAGUUACUUGGAAUUUGAUCAUUUCUAGUUACUUGCAAUCUGGCUUGAUCGAUAAGGCACUCGAUAUGUGUCACCUGAUGAGAUCGGAAAAUUUGAGAUUUGACUGCGUGACUCUAUCGUCUAUAUUGACCGCAGCUGCGAAUUCGAGCAAUAUAAAACUUGGAAAAGAGGGUCACUGUUAUUGUAUUCGGAACAGCCUUCAGUCUGAUGUGGUUGUUGCAAGUAGCAUUGUAGAUAUGUAUGCCAAAUGUGGAAGAAUUGAUUAUGCUGGACAUGUAUUUAGUUCCACUAAUAACAAAGAUAUCAUAUUAUGGAAUACAUUGUUGGCUGCUUAUGCAAAUGUUGGCCAUAGUGGUGAGGCCUUGAAGUUGUUUUAUCAAAUGCAGUUAGAGAGUGUGCCGCCGAAUGUAGCGUCGUGGAAUUCCGUGAUUUUAGGAUUUAUCAGGAACUCCCAGUUAAAUGAAGCUAAAGAGUUCUUCUCGCAGAUGCAAUUGCUUGGCGUCCACCCUAACCUUAUAACUUGGACUACUCUUAUCACUGGCCUGUCUCAUAAUGGUUUUCACGACGAGGCAUUACAGGUUUUUCAAGAAAUGCAAGAAUCGGGGAUCAAACCGAAUACCGUAAGCAUCAGUAGUGCACUUUCAGCUUGCACAAAUGUGACAUCAUUACAACAUGGAAGAGCAAUCCAUGGAUACGCUAUACGGCAUGACCUCGGUUCACAGAUUUCUGUUUCAACAGCUUUAGUUGACAUGUAUGCUAAAUGUGGAUGUUUAAGUCGAGCAAAGAGGGUGUUUGAUCAUAUCUCAAGCAAUGAAUUGCCUGUUUAUAAUGCUAUGAUUUCUGCUUAUGCAUUACAUGGUCAAGCCGGAGAAGCUCUUGCGGUGUACAAAAAUCUCAAGGAAGCUGGCAUAGAACCCGAUGGUAUAACAUUUACAAGUGUCUUAUCUGCGUGCAGUCACACCGGACUGGUAAAUGAAGGUUUAGAGAUUUUCAUUGAAAUGGCCUCUAAACAUCAUUUGUCGCCAAGCAUGGAGCAUUAUGGGUGUGUAGUUAGUCUUCUUUCUAGAUCAGGUCGUUUAGAUGAGGCUUUUAGGCUUAUUCUCACAAUGCCAUUUGAACCAGAUGCACACAUAAUCGGACAACUUAUUGCUAAAUGCAGAGAGCAUAACGAGAUUGAACUUGUGGAGCAUUUAUCAAAGUAUUUAUUAGAAUUGGAACCAGAUAAUUCAGGGAAUUAUGUGGCGAUUUCAAAUGCAUAUGCUACUGCAGGAAGGUGGGAUGACGUAUCUGAAAUAAGGGAUUUAAUGAAAGAAAAAGGGUUGAAGAAGAGUCCCGGGUGCAGUUGGAUUCAAAUAGGUGAAAAACUUCAUUCUUUCAUUGGUGGUGAUGGAUCACACCCCAAUACUGAGGAUAUACAAGCUACAUUGGCUUUGUUGGGAAUUGAUAUGAAAUCCAGUGCUUAAAAACUCUGUUCUUACGCACUAAUCAGAUCUGUAGGUAACAAAUGAAGUGCUCCAAGGAGACUCAACACCGGCUCGAGUUUAAGCAAAAAGAAGCAAACAACAAAUGGAUACUUUUUGCUUCAUUAGGAAGAAUUGUUCAGAAUGUUCGGCCAGGACCGAUGAGUUGAUGCUGAUUUAUCCGAAUUAUCGGACCAGAUAACAGCUUUGAGCUCCACACAUUAGACAUGUUGGAAGAAUGGAUAAUACUGCUUCACUCAUAUCAAUCUGUAUAAGAUACUCACACAAAACUCGAGGCGGUUCUGUUCGUAUUCAGAAAAAAUUACAGUAAAUUGAAUAAUGCAGCUAUGCUUCUUCAGUUUCUGGAUCUUCCAUUAAAAGAGGGCACUGGAAAAAAAAAUGACAAAAUUUGGAUUCAAAACCAAAUUCUUUUUACAUUUAUCAUGAGUUUAGGCUUGAUUAUUGUAGUAACAAAGAACAUUAUCAGCAAUUUAUUUUUUAAUCUUUCUCACUUUAGCAUCAUUUGUAAUUACACUAUAAUAAAUACCCCAAAUUUCUACCUAAAAAGGGAUUUGCGUACACCUUAUACAAAUUUGGAUGUACAUAAAUACGAGUAUAGGAGAAGAAUCCUGAGUAACAUAAGCCGAUAGUUUUUACCGGUUGAGGUUUCUCAAGCAGCUAAUAGCCGAAGCCCAAACUUCGAGCACCAUCUUUUAUGUUUAUGCCUUUUCCAAGGUAUCCAAUGAAGGGUAUUUUCUCCUCUUUUUUUUUCUUUUCUCUUUUUCCUGCACUUGCUUCGUAUGGUUUUGCUUUUCUACUCACAUUACAUGUGCACAAAGUACAAUAUCCAAUGCUGCAAAUCCAUGGGGACCAAUCAACCUGUGGUUUGCAAUGGAACAACAUUAUAGUCAGCUUCUUCAAACACCUCAAACAAUCGAUAUAAAGCAUGAAGACGAUUAACAUUCAAUGGUUUACUAGGCUGUUAUACAAAUUUAAUUUUUUUCCCUAGGUCCUUAGUCUUCGGUGAAAGAAAAAGAAGGCAUUUUUUGCGUCAUUAGCAACCACCCCUCUCUAGCACUGCACCUUGUUUCAUGGGCAAGCGAAGCCCACAAAUGGAACAAGUUGCUUUUCACAAGGCAUCACAUCAAAACUAAAGUUAACUAUGUUCCAUAAAGUAGUUAACAAUCAUUAAAUUUAUAGACUUUGAGAUGUAAUUUAUAUAUAUUAACUAUUUAUUAUGAAUUAGAUUGUUUCCGCAACUACCUUCUUUGAUUGUGUACUUCACCUUAUUAUAUUUAUUAUGAUUAUUCAAUUAAUUCAUUAGUUCUGAUGUGAUUUCAAUGAAUUGGCAUUCACUUACUUACAUCCAACAUAUGAGGCCUUUCAAGUUGGUGAGAUUUCAAUGGAGGUGUUUUUUUGUCUAAUGAGUGAAAAUUUUAUGAGAACAUUAGAAACCUUGAGAGAGAAUUGAGGUUAUCUUGUCUGAUCCAACUAACAUUAAAAAUCAAGAGAUGAUUAUGGUUUUUGACUGUCAUACAAGUAAAAUGGCAAAAAGCCAAAUCCAUUUCCAAAUGGCAGCUUUUCAUAUAUAUAUAUGGAUUCAAAGAUGAACUUAGAAGGCAAGAAACUGGUUAGCUUAGGGUUUAAGAUAACCAUAAUACAUUUGCAUUAUUAUUAUCAGCCAAACUCCAAAAAAAGGUCUUUGAAAAAAAUAAGAUGAGCUAAUUAAAGCCACCUUAAAAGACCCAUAAAAGGACUUAAUGAAUAGGGUAAAAAAGUUUAGCUGAACUGUAUUUUGUGAGGGAAAAUAAAGAAAAUUAGGUCAACCUGGAUUACUCAUCAUUGUAAAAUAAAGCUAAACAUGACCUGUAAAAUUAAGUGAUAAACAGUAGUGUUGUAAAUAUGCAUUGAUGAAUGAAGAAUCCAAUGCCCCCCCCCCACCAAAAGUGCCUAUUUGGCUAUUUCCUUUUUAAGUGUUUUUAUGAUAAAAAAGAUUUAUAUUAACAUUCUUUUUAUUUGUUUUUUAGGUCAUUUUUUUUACUAUCAUCAGAUAAAACUAGAGAAGUGAGACAGAUUUUAUUUUUCUGGUUUUGAUUUUUUUUAUUGCUUUCUUGGUGUCUUUAUUAUAUCAAUUCAGGUUCAUGGACCACUAAAUAAUUUACGUAAACUGCCAAUGCCCAAUGGGGCUAAGGUCCUUUUCCAUCUCUUUGGUUGAUGGAAGAAUAGAGAUUAGAGGUUAGCAAAAUUUGAUUUAAUUCGAAAAGUUUGAAAAUAAAUUUAAAUUUUGUGUUAAUUAAAUUGAGUUAUUCGAUUUUUUUAGUCAACUCAAAUAAGUAAUUCGAGUUUUGAGUUUAAGUCAAGUUAAAUUUUACAAUUUAAAUAAUCUGAAUAAUAGAUUCGUAUAAAUACAUUUUUGGUCUCUAUCAAUUUUGAAAAUAAGUAAAUUGGUCUUUCUUUCAACAAAAAUUACAAAAAAAAUCAAAAUAAUUUUAAAAUAUUUAUAAAAAUUUCAAAAUAUAUAUUUUAAAAAAUUCAAAAAAAAUUCUAAAGAAUAUAUAAAGAAAUUUAAAAUUUUUAAAAAUUAAUAAUUUUGGGACCUAAUUAAGUUAAUUAAUUAUUCAAGUUUAUCAUAUUAAAGAUUUUUUUUUCUUAUUUUGCUUUGAAAAAAUUUUCAAAUGUAUAUGGUUUUACAUUUAUGUGCUCUAACGUGGAAUUGGUUAUACUGUAAUAAGAUUUUAAUUUGACUUAUACUCGAACAAUUUCACUCAAUUCUACUCGACUUAAAUUUCAUUUUAUUCGACUCGAUUCGAAAAAUUUCAAAUCGAGUUAGGAUGAUAAAAUAAGAAUUGUCAAUUCAAUUAACUCGAUUCGAUCGAAUGCUCACCCUUAAUGGAGAUGGCAUAUGUUAAGAUUCAAAUUAAUUUAAUUAAGUUGAUAAUGAAUUAUUUAAAGAAGGAUGUUUUGUUGAUUAUAAAUGGGAGUAGUUUUAAUUUACAAAAAGAAAGAAAAAGGAAAUCUAGAAAUAUUCUUAGCCUUGCAUCUUAUGCAAAUGAUCUGUCGCCAUAAUCAUUCACGGUGUUAUACAAAUUGAUUACGUCCAGGGAAUUUCAACCACUACAACUUAAUAUUCUAAAGGGUUUGAUCUGUGUUAUCAAGACUUAAUUGAAAAGAAAAAGUGAAGAUAUUGAUGAUGUGAUAAUAGGGGUGGGUCCAUACAUAUAUGUCCCACACCUUGUUUUCUUCUUCAUUAAUCCUUUUUCUUCUUUUUGAAAUGAAAAAACAGUAUGGAGAAGACAACCUGAUGUAGGGUUUAAUUAAGAAUAAUCGAAUAUUAGGUCAAACAAUCAAAACCAGACAAUGUGUAAGAGAUGUUUUUUUUUCUUUUUCUAUCUUUUUUUAUUUUGGCAAACUACACACUUUCGGUGCACCAAAAACUUUGCUUUCUCCGGCAACUGCUUAUCUGUUAAUAUCCCCCCCCCCUUCUUUGUUUACCUAUAUACUUUUAUUUUUAAAUCUAAUUGUUAAUAUUAUUUUUAUUAAACUCGGUUUUAUGAUAAUGUUAUUUUUAAUUGCAUUGCUAUUAAAUGAUUUUUUUUUUAUUUCCAAAUGAUCCACUAAUAAAUUUAACACCGUUAACAAUUAAAUCUGAAUUUUAAAAAUUAAAAAUAAGAGGAUCAAAUUUUAAAUUUGUGAAAAAUACAGAAAUCUAUACUAUAUUUUAACCACCUAUCAUAUAUUAUAAUAUUUCAUGUGUCAAUUAAGAUUUUGCAAAUAUAAAUUAUAUAAUUAAAGAAUGACUACUUAAUUUAGUAAAAUAGUUCAAAUGAGCCAACAAAUGAUUUGAAGAAAUGAAAGUGAAUUGUUUUCUCCGGUAGUAUUUGGACCAAACUCAAAUUUUAAAAUCAACAUAUUUAAGAGAGUUUCACUUGAAUACCAUCUCUUACUUAAUUAGGAUUAAGCUCAAAUCACGGAUGAUGAUACGUGUAAUUAUAUAGAAAAUGUUAAAAUGACGAUUAAAUGCUAAUUUAAUAAAUUAUACAAGCAUAGAGACAUUAGAGAUAAGCAAUGGGCAGGUGGCAAUGAAGCGAGGCGGAGACAAAUAUUAUUAAUCCCAUCAUCGCUCUACAAUUGGUAUGGUCAGCUCCAUCACUCAUCUUGUUCCAUUAUAGAUGUAUAAUUUUAAAAAUUACUACUACCUCCAUGGAAAAAUUUACUAUUUAUUUUUAAUAUUUUUCAAAUCAAAUAAAUAGUUAAACAUAAUUCUUUAAAAAUAUAUUUAAACAUAAAAUAUAUGAUUUUUUUUAUAUUUCAUUAUUACAUAUUUACUCUUUUUUUGUAAUAUAUAUAUAAAUAAAAUGAUAAUUUCAUAUAAUGAAAUGAAUCGAGACAAAUAAUUAAUAUAAUCGCUCUUUAUUCAUUAUCCUAAUCAAAACUAAACAUCCACUCUACCCCACUUCUAUUUUUCAAAAAUAAAAAUUCAUUCGAAACGAAUCGUUUUGGAAUUAAUAUUUGGUGUUUACUGUGAUUCGCUGGACGACCAAUACCUACACAUUACCCGAAUUCCGAUAAUUACUUUUCUUUAUACCCUCCCUGCCUAUUUUUGACCAUUUGUAUUUGCUUGUCCAAGGCCGAAAUUGUAUGCGGGAAAAAUGAAGUUGAUAGACUGAGUGGGUCCGAUCAAACAGAUCCAGCUUAGCCACGUCAAACAUAAUGUUUAACCAUUUUUUAUGAAAAAUGAAAAAUGAAAAAAAUCCAUUAUUUUAUUUUUAUUCUUUUGUCUAGGGAAAAAGAAAAGAAGGAAAGCCGGCCAGGCUGUUCCCCACUCUUGGCUUUUGCGUUUCUUUUCCUCUGGCUACCAUGCCAAUCCAUGAACAGACAAAAGUUCUCUCCCCCGGUGAAAAUAUCAUAUCUCCAAAUCUGCCCAAUCAUCAUCAUUAGUACUUUUGAGCUACACGUGUCAUGCCUCUAGUCCCUCCGAUUCCAGUUCGGUUCUCCAUUCCAUCAUUUAACUACGCUUCUAAUCCCGUUUAAAUAGGCUCCCUUGCCUACAUUUCAAUUUUCUAUCAGGAAUCAAAAUAAAAUUAACUUAUGUGAUGAAAUAUUGAAAUAAGGAAAUUUAAGGAAACUAUCCACCUCGUUACUUUUUAAUUCAAAUUGUGGCGAGAGAAAUUCUAGAAAUAAUACCAAAUAACCAAAAUGGAUUGUUUUUCUUCCUCAUUUUACCUAUUCAACUUCUAUUUUCUCCUUAGACUUUUACAAGGAAUUUUCAACUACGUGAUUAGCUUGUCACAUGGCCAUUGCAAUAAAAGAGAUUAGGAGAAAGAAAAAGAAAAUCAUCUAAUUCAUCAAAUGGUCAAAUUCCAAUAAGUUCAUGGAACUCCCCCAUCUUUCAAAAACAUUUCAAAUCCCCCCCCCCUUUUCUCAACUCCAUCUAUAAAAAUAAUUGCAAAUUAAAAAUUAAGGAAAAGAAUAAACCCCAGGAUAACGAAAUUUAAAAAAAAUAGCAAAAAAAAAAAAAGACACAAAUUUAGGGGCAAACAUUAAUUACUUCCCCCAAUCAAAUGCGCACUUUAUCAUUCUUUUACUUACGCUUUCUGCACACUUUAACACUCCCAUCCCCACACACACUCUCCUUUCACUUUUCCGAUUCACUUUGUCUUUUCCUUUCGUUGUUGAUAUCACGCACGCUCAAGGAGUGGUGGAGCGCGGUGUGGUCCUUGAUUCUGUGGGAGGAGUUUGUCCGUCUGAUCCUUUCGAAGGAUCAUCAGAUGAUUGUCGUAAUCCGUCGUCUGUUUCCACUCUAUUCAUUUCUUCAAUCAUGCGUACCACUUCUUGCAUGGAGGGUCUUUGAUCUGGCACCGUUGACACACAAGUCAUCGCGAUUUGUAAUAGUUGCACCAUUUCCUCUUCGAUGCUGUGAUAUCUCAUCAAUUCCACGUCGAAAACUUCGGCCGUCCAUUCUUCCCGAACCACGGAUUGGACCCAACGAGGAAGAUCGAUCCCUUCUUCGCCUAACGAUGCUUGAUUAGGUGCUUUGCCGGUUAAUAACUCUAGCAACAACACUCCACAGCUAUACACAUCAGACUUGAAAGUAACUUUUCGGGUUUCAAGCACUUCAGGUGCUCGGUAGCCUGCAACACGACUAGGUGGGGUGGAGUUGCCGAACAAAGGAUUGAGACCGAAGUCAGAGAUGCAAGCAUCUUGGUCUGGUCGGAGAAGGACGUUGGAGGCCUUGAUGUUGCCGUGCACCACCUUCCCGGAAACAUGGAGAUGGGCUAAACCCCUAGCCGUGCUCAACGCUAUUCUCAUCCUGUUUUCCCAACCUAACGGAGUUCGGCCUGAGCCUCUACUACCUGCAGCAUAUUUUCACAAAACCCUUCACAUCGUUAUCAAAAACAAAAAGUAAUUUGCCCACGUGAGCCUGUAAUUUUCAUGAUUAGUCAAAAUAAACCUAAUGGUCAAAAUCCUAAUACUAAGCAUAAGCCAAAAAAAAAAAAGUGUAGCUUCCUUGAAUUGAAAAGAGUUUUUGAUUAUUACAAAGCAGUAAGCGUUAUAAUUGGCACUUAAAAGCAUGAUUUCAAGGUUGCAGAGCAAAUUUAGUGAAAAAAAAAAAGGGGGCAAUGAAAUAAUGUCGGUGGAUCCAUAUAUGAAUCAUGAGACUGCAUGUUACAAUGCUGGUGGUUGAAUGCAAAUGAAGACAAAAAAGACAGCCAUUACAAGCAUAAUACAUACUCUUGUAAGAAUGUUUGCAGAGGAAGUGGGGGAAUUGUACAAAGAAACCCAUAACCCGGACAUUACUCUGGUUAUUAAAUUGGAAAACUUAAAACAUUUUCUUCAAUGAUUAAGAACCUUUCCAUUAUUAAAUUCAUCACUGUAACAUCAACCAAUUAAAUAUUACAUUAUCCCAACAACAUUCCAAAAUGUCCCCACAAAAAUAAUAUUAAGCAUAAAUUUGAAUGAAUUAUUAGGCUGUUUAAGGGGGGGGGGAACCCAGAAAAAGUCAAGUAAAUAAAAGAAUGAAAUAAUGAAAUGAAACCGAGAAAAGUUACCGUGAAGCAGGGCAGACAAGCUACCGUCGCGCAUGAAGUCGGAAACGAGCAAUUUUUCAUCUUUGGAGUAAUAAAAUGCUCUUAAAGGAACCACGUUUUCAUGCCUGAUUUUGCCCAACGUUUCCAUUUGCAUUUCGAACUCCUUUUUACUCAAGGCAACGUCUUUUAACCGUUUAACGACCACCGUCGUCCCUUCUUCUAGCACUGCCUUGUACGAUGUUCCGACACUACCUUUUCCCAAUACUUCAGCUGAAGCCCUUAACAAAUCCUCCAGAUCGAAGCUAUAAACCCCACCUUCGAAGAACACCAGCUUAUUCCUUUCCCCUUCUGUUGAUGCUCCGGUGAUAUCAUCUUUCGACGAGGAGGUUCCAGCCUCCGCCGGCGGAACCGCCCUUGCGCCGGCCGCAACCGGCUUCUGCUGCUUCGACGGCUGCCGUUGCCGCUUCCGGAGGCAAAGAAUGAGGAAUAACAGUAAUAGUAACGCUGCGAAUGCCGACCCCACGGCAAUACCAAUGAUGGCGCCGGUGGAAAGGUUUCUAGACUUUUUACCAGAUGUUGAGGGCGAAAUGGGCUCGGAAGGAGAUGGUGCCGGCGAAGGGAAAAAUGGGUUACAAGGCGGGAGUGGGCCACCGCAAAGGCCAAGGUUUCCGGCGAAUGAAGACGCAGGGUAUUUAGAUAGCGUAUCGGGAAUGGAACCGUUUAAGCUGUUAUUAGCAACAUCGAACUCAUUCAAACCGUCGGAGUUGAUGCUCGGAAGAGAACCGGAAAAUCUGUUGUUUUGCAAGAAUAACCCUGUCAGCUGAGUCAAAUUGUUGACCCCAAAAGGGAUUGGACCCGUGAAAUUAUUGGAAGAAAGAUCAAGCCGUGACAAACGAGUUAAACCGGUCAAACUGGGUGGGAACGGGCCUGUAAAGGCGUUAUCUUGCAAAUAAAGGCUACGGAGGAGAGUCAAAUUGGAGAAGUCGGCAGGGAUCUCACCGAAUAAACCGUUAGCUCGGAGACUCAAAACUCGGAGUUGGUUUAACCGACCGAUGGUGUUAGGCGGAAUCGAGCCAACGAGACCCACAGCUGGGAGCCUAAGAGUAUAAACAAAAGAGCGGUUCGCAUCGCAUUGGACGCCGACCCAAUUGCAGGCUGAAGUUGAUGAGUUCCAUUGGAUCCGGUUCGAGUGUUUGGUCUUUGAAAGGAACGCAAGGAGAGCUUGCUUGUCUUGAACAGGCUCUGAGGUCACUCCCAAACACAAUAUCAGAACCGAAACUAAAAAAACAAAGCUAAAAUUUACAACCAUUUUGGGAUUUCACUUGAAAAAAUGGAACACAAGAAAGAAAUGAGGAAAAAUAGUCGGGUUUCACUCUAUAUUUGCUUUGUUUUUCUCGGCGGCCGGUGAGACCCAAGUACGAUUUUCCGGUGAGAACCCAUAAAAGAAAAAAUGAAAAAUCGGAAGGAGAACAGUGUGGUUUUGUAAGGUAUCACGAGAUUACAGAAAAACGAAAAAAAAAAUAGAGCUGAACUAGAAACAGGAGAGAGAUAAGCGAGCAUAUGGCUUUGCUGGCGACUGGCAGUGGUGGGAAAAGCGUUUUAUUUUCUAAUAAUAUUUUCUUCAUAUUGGUAAACUGAAAAUUAAAAAAGAAGAAGAAAAAGAAAAAGCGCUUGUCUUUCUUUUCUUUUAACUUUUGCUUGCCUAUUCUGUUGUUAACGCUCGACUGGGAGCGCGUGGGAUUUGUUAAUUUUGAUGAUAGCUACUACUUCGAUUGCUCCAUGUGAGUGUCAAUAUUUGGACUUUGUUGUGAUGGAAGGGAUGGGUCCCGACCGUAAACCAUCGCUCUACUUACGUAUUCUAUGAAUCGUAUCAGCUAAAGGGAGUGGAUUCCACGCGUUUAAACAGAGUGGGGGGUUUUUUAAUUCAUCGAUACACGUUUCUCUUGUUUUUUCUUUGGAUGGUGAGACUAUUUUCGCUCUCAGUUCUCAAUAAAACUUUGAUCCUAUUGGAUAGGUGCUGGGAAGUAAAAUUAAAAAAGGGCCUACUUUUCUCGCACUGAUUCGGUACACAGUACACACACUGGUUUCACAUUUGGUGAUUCAUCGGACGGUUCCAGAGCUCCGGAUGCGGGUACCCAUCACAUGAUCAAUGUGACAUUGGUUUGGCCGGUACCAUUAAUGGUUGCAAAACUUUAUGAGUGUUUGACCAUUGAAAAUCGAUCGACAUGUGGCAAUAGCUUACGAGUGCUUGAUUUUAGACACAGUCGUACUUUGGUUCGGCUCGGCUUGGGUGCCAUUGUUGGGAGUUUAUAAUUGACUCAUCACUGAGAAAUGAACUGGAAUGAGGCAGCAGUCAUUUGGCAUUUCUAUUCUUUUUCUUUAUAGUCAACAGAUUAAGAAUUUGAAUGAAGAAAUCAAAUUCCAUUUAAGCAUAAAUUGAAAUUUAGCAUGUGUAAGUGGUACAUUUUUAUAACUUACCUUUCUAUAUACUUCAAACAUUAAUAUAUAUUUCCACUUUAUUUUUUCAACUUUUAUAUCAUAAAUUGAUUCUUUCUUAUACUUUUAUAUCCAAAUUUGUUUAAGUUGAAUGAAUUUUAGUUAUAAUUGCGUAUUAUUAAAUCUUUACAAAAAUUCAAUACUUUAUAAUAAAUAGGUUAUUUGAAUGGAAUGAAAACUCAUUAAUUAUAAGUAGGCGGUUCAUAUUUCAAACAAUAAACGCGUAUUUGAGUGAAGCAACGUCUUUGUUGUAUGUUAAAGAAAAUAUAACUCAGAAGUUGAGGAUUUGAAUUGCCCUUUUGACUUUUUGGACAUCAAUUCGCAUAUUUCUCAAUUUAUUGCAUGUAAAUAAAAUAAUUAUAUAAUCAUGUUACAAUCUUAUCUUUUUCAAAAUCAAUUACAAAAUUCAAAUUUGAUGUGUUUCUGUUGAAUGCCAUUUCAAUUGAUACAAAUAUUGUGUUGGAUUUAGAGAUUAUAAGUCGAGUCAGGGUACAAUACAACAAUAAUCAUUAUUUAGUUAUUUUUAUUUUUAUUUAUUCAUUCAAUUUUUUGAAAUUAAAUAUUUUAGUUCAUAGAUAAAAAGUUGAUAGGGACUUUUUUUUUUAUUGGCUUAGUAACAAAUUUGACACUCCAAUAUUUAUAUAUUCUAUUAAUUUGAUCCCAAGUCUAAUAAGAUAGGUAAGAGAGGGUCCAGUUAUUUUUUUAAUAAAAUUUAUUGAUUUUUUUAAAUGUGAUAUCACAUUGCUAGGAUGUGUAAAUAUUGGAAAGUUAAAAAUAUUAAUAGGCCAAUAAAAAAACUCACAUCAACUUUCUAACCCUUAACUUAACUAACGAAAAAGGACUAAAGUAUUUAAUUUUAAAAAAUUAAAUGACUAAAUAAAAUAAUAAUUGAGUGACCAAAAUACUAUCUACCAACAGUUCUAAUCUUAUUAUUGUCCAAUUAAUUUUUCUAAUAUAUGCUUAGUUGUCAUUUGAUUUUAUAAAAAAAAAAAUCCUAAAAAGAGCCUUGAAAUGUAGUGGUAGAAGGUAUGGUAUGGAUAUCUUCAGCAUGUGAUAAGGCAAUGGGAUCAUCAUUCUUUUUAACGCCCCAAAUUAUUGAAUGGGUAGGACACUUUUUUCCCAAUAAUUAUUUCUCAUAAGAUGAAUUUGAUUCAUUUGGCAAAGCUUUUUUUAAAUGGUAUAACUUUAAUCUUUUAAUUUUUGAAGCUAUCUUAGGAAAUUUGGGGAAAAGGGUGACUUAAAAGGUUAAAAAAAUAAUAUGUAUAAGGUUGCAUUAUUUAUUUAUUUAUUUUUGCAUAAGCAAGGUUAUAAAAUUUGUCAAUAACCAUUAAAACUUGAUUUUAUUUAAAAUUUUAAAAUAAAAAGUGGGGAGGUGGACCGCUCCUAAAAAUUCAAAAUUUUAUAAGCACCUUACAUAUAUAUAUAUAUAUUACUGUAGGUAUAUUUGUAAAAACCAAAGUUAGGUCAAUAUUUGUAAUAAAAAAAUUGUUUUCGCAUCUUCCCCUCGUUUAACUAAUUCUUAAAAUUUUAUUCAAUGAUAAUUUUUCUGUUUUUUUAAAUAAUACAUUCUUUUACCUACAACUUAGAAUGAUGUAUCGAGUUUAAAACACACGAAUUUUAAACCAACAGAAUAACUGGGGCACCAAUUAAAUUUUUAGUUGAAAAUUUCAUCAAUUUUUACUAUUAAAAAUCAGUUCAUGAAUAUUAACAUAAUGAGAUAUACGUGGUACAUCAAGUGUAAUUAUUUGAUUAUUCUGUCAAUUACGUCAGUUUUUAAUAGUAAAAUUUAACUAAAAAAUAAUUUAUUUUUUAAUUUAAUAUAUAAUAACUAAUUUACUUAUUUUUUAAUGGAUAAAAUAAAACGUAAAUUGACUAGAGUUUUAUAAUACUUUCUAAAUAUUGAUGAUAACAAAAAUACAUAUAGUAGUUCUAUCUAUCAAUAAAAUGUUGACUAUCUUACUUUGUACAAAAUUUCCAUCAAAUACAUGAAAUGUAAAUUUUCCCCCCAUAAAUGGCCAUCAAAAUUCGAAAUUUGUACUCUUCCCUGAAUAUAUGGUAUGUGUUUCUCCUAUAGGUUUCUGUAUUUGCUGAAACAAAAAGUGCAGUGUUGCAAGUUGCAACUGCAACCAUAACACUCUCUGUCGAGUCCACUUGGUAAUGCUCAUUUCACACGCCCACCACUGCAGCCAUAAGAUUCAAUUUCAUGCCAUCAAAUUUAUUAUUAAAACACUUGAUACAUAAAUUAAGUUCCAUAUAAUAUAAAUUAUUCACGUAUUCAAUUUGUAUAAAUAUACAAUACUUUGAUUGAUGACAACCGAGAAAAAGUUAAAUGAAGUUUUGAUUCGAUUGGUAAAAUUAGAUUUAUUGAUUUUUAAGUAUCAAAUUUAAGAUUUAUCAUUUGUAAUUUUAUGUUUAAGUCUCGAAAUUUUAUCAUUAGUAACUGUUAUGUGAUAAGUGCUAAAAGCAACAUGUUUUGAUUUCAUUUUUAAUGCGUUUUUGGGUGGUUUUUCAAUGUUAAUGGUGAAUUUUAUCCUCUUAAUCCUUUAAAUUCAUAUCUUUAUACUUGGGAGAGCAUUUGGGAGCGAAAACCGAAUCAGAGUAAGGUACAGGAGCCACAUGGGAUGACCCAUUCCACAUGCCCGUUUGAGCCACACGACCAUGUGGCAGACCGUGCCGAUUCUGCGAAUUGACACCCUGAACUGCGGGAAAACGUGGUUUUCAGAUUUUUCUGGUAUUCUAAGACAUAUAUAUGACAAAAAUAAGAAGAUAUGAGUGAUCCGUCAUAGAAAACUCAAGAAAACAACUCAAAAAAUACCAUCGAAGCUGAUUCUGAAGCAGAUUUAUGUCAAGAUUGAAUACUCCUGGUUGAUUUCUUAGUAAACCAUGAUGAGUUUAUUUAUUUCUUUCAAUUUUAUUGUCUCCAGGAUGUUUUUUUGUUUGUAAGUAUAAACUAAUUUUUUAAAUACCUAGGGGAGAUGAACCCUAUGAUUGAUUAUGUCAUAUGAUUUUUAUUUUACGUAAUAAAUACUUAGAUAUUAUUCUCAAUUAUAUGUGCUUAAUCAUUAGUUUGACAUUUCUAGACUAUUAAUUCAUAUUUGAUGUACUUACCGUAACUAUACUAUUAAUUGAUAGGUGCACUUGUUUUAGUCGGCUUUUUAGUUAGUUUCGUGGACAUCACUAUGUGUGGGUUUAGUCUAGUUAAUUUAGUUUAUUGACUUUAAUUUAAACUGUACUAAUUAUUAGUUCAAUCGUAUUGUAAUAGUUUUAUUCUACUUUGCGAUUCAUUAAAUAAUAUGUGUUGUAAUAAUUUGAUACUUACAAUUAUUUAAACACAUUUGUAUUUGUGCUUUAACUGUACUUGACACACUUUAAAAAAAAACUACUAGAAAAAAUUCUAUUAAUUCUUUGCCGUUCUGAAUACAAAUUUCAUCAAGUAUAAAUUUAACAGUUGUAUCAGAAUGAUUCAAAUGUAUUUUAGUUUUAUUUUGGGAAGGGAAAUGAAUUUUAGUUUAAUUAUUCAAUUGGUUACUGAAUGAUAUUGUUAGAUCCUAAAAUGAAUAAUGAAUAAUAUGUUAGUUGUCAAGCACCACCAAUUCUAUUUGAUAUAUAACAUGAGGUUUUUUUUUUUUGUCUAAAUCGGGUAUCCACCGUCGAUAGCAUAUUUAUUUUCCUCAUCGUAAAUGUUUUCUGAAGAAUAUAAGACCACUUUUAACCCUUACACCAACAAUCAAUAAAAUUUAAAUAUCAAACAACGGUCAAAGUGUAAUUCUCAAUACAAUUAGCUCACCAUUUAAUUUCACAGAUCGAGUCAAUCCCCUCUAAAAUACUUUGGUAACUUCAUGUACACAUUAGUUCAAUGAAGACGAACAACAUGAAUCAAUAAUGAUUUGUUGUUUUUUUUUUUGUAGAGUUAUAUUUUACAUAUGAUUAUAACAUAUAAAAUAUAUAUAAUAUUUUAAACACGAGUUCAAUGAAGAAUAACAAUAGGAAUUGAGUAGGAUUACAGUUUACCCAAAAAAUAAAUGUCCUUCAUUUGGUUUCUUGAGGUGUAAAGUAGCAGAAAAUGGUUAAAUCCGUUGCUGCUGCCCCCCUACCCAGUUACUCUACUACGUACUAAUCAUAUGUUUGGGAAGAGUCGUUUUAAGAUUUGAAAAAAAAAAUGUGAAUAAUUAAAUAAUAUUAUAUUAUAUUAUUGUUUUGUUUUGUUUUAUUGUGAAUUUUCAUGCCAUCUAUCUUUAAUUCUUUAUUUCUAUAAAUAGAAAAAUCGAUGAAAUCAAUAGCCUUUUACUUUUACUAUUGUAAUAUAUUAUAACUAGAUUUGAUCCUGUGUCGGGUUAGAUUUGAGUCGGAUCAAUAUAAGUUUUUAAGUUUGUUUUUAGGCUCGGCUCAAGAAAUGUGUCUAAAAUUUUGUCCAAAUCUGACCCAGAUAAAAAUACUAAACCCGAGCUCGAUCCGUCUCGUCCAUUUUAUUUUUUUAUAUUAUUAUUUUUAUAUAAAAUAAAAUUUAAAAAAUACAAUAUAUCAAACACAUUAAAAAAUAUUAAAAUAAAAAUUUCCCAACAAAUUAAAAAUAUAUUCAAAAAAGUCUUUAUACUUAAAUAAUAUUAAGAUAGUUGCAACUUAACAAGCAAAUGUUUUUAAGAUAGUAACAAAAACUUAGCAAGCAAAUGACUCUAAAAUAAUAACAAAAUUAAUAAUAAAACAAGAGUUAAACAAUAUUUGAACAAUAACAACAAAAUAUUAGCAAUAUCAUAACAAAAUGACAACAAACAACAACAAAUAACAGUGAAAAAAAAGGCAAUUUUGGGUUGAGUCGUAAAACAAAAGGGAAUGACCGAGGUAAUGAAAGAAAUAAUAACAAGAAAAGCUCAAAGUAUUGAAGAACGUUUUUGAUUAUUGAAAUUAAACACAAAAUUACAUUAGAUAAAAUGACAUAUAAAUAGCUUAACUACAUGUAACGUUAAAGCUAAAAACCUACAACUAAUAGCCCACUAAAACCUCAACUAACAAAACAUAAUAUGAUCAUAUCCCUAUAAAAUAGGAACCAACUUAUUUGAUAAAGAAAACAAGUAAAUUAAAAAAUCCAGUAAGAUGCACUAAUUUUUAACACUCCCCCUUAGUGCAUGCUUACGAUCAAGAACUCCAAGAGCAUCUCUAAAUUGCUGAAACUUAGGCUUCACCAAAGCCUUAGUGAAAAUAUCAGCCACUUGAUCGUUGGUGCGAAUGUUUACAAGCUCAAUCUCUUCACUUAGAACCUUUCCUCGAACAAAAUGAUGUCGAACCUCAAUGUGCUUCGUUCGAGCAUGAAAAACCAGGUUCGAUGCAAGCUUAGUAGCACUUUCAUUAUCACACUUGAUUUUUACAGCAUAAUCAACUUUGCAUAUGUCUCCAAUCAACCUCUUCAACCAAAUGCACUCUUGUGCAGCCAUAGUUGCUGCCACAUACUCGGCUUCAGUACUUGACAAAGCAAAAACACAUUGCUUUUUGCUACACCACGAAACCAUUGUUGAACCGAUGCUGAAACAAUAUCCCGAAGUCGAGUGACGGUCGUUUGUAUCUCCAGUACAAUCGGCAUCAGUAAAUCCACUCAACAUAAAGCUAUCACAUCUCUUGUAUAGAAGACCAUAACCAAUAGUUCCUUUAACAUAACGCAAAAUCCUCUUUGCUGCAUCCAUAUGAAUAGUUGUUGGAUUCUGCAUAAAUUGAGAAACAACACUAACAGAGUAUGAAAUUUCAGGCCUUGUUGGUCAAAUAGAUUAAGCUUCCAACAAGUUGUCGGAACUUCCUUGCAUCUUCCAACGACCUCCCAUCUUCUUUCUUCAACUUCAAAUUCGGCUCCAUCGGAGUAGCUUUUUCUUUCGACUCCCUCAUACCGAAACACUCCAAGAGAUUCCUUGCAUAGCCUUUUUUAGAAACAAGGUAACCUUGAUAUGAUUUUUCCACUUCUAGACCAAGAAAACAUCCAAUCUCCCCCAAAUUUUUCAUCUCGAAACGAACAGACAAGUCAUUCCUCAAAUUACAAAUUUCUGAUUCAUUAUCUCCAGUUACUAUCAUAUCAUCAACAUAUAAUAAUACCAAGCGAUGUGCACCUGAUUCCAAUUUUAUAAAUAAACUAGAAUCUGAUUCAGAAACUCUAAAGCCACAAAAAAUGAGAUAUUGAGCAGCUUUACCAUACCAUGCCCGUGGCGCUUGCUAAAGGCCAUAUAACGCUUUCCUCAAACGGCAAACACGAUCGGGAAAUUCCUUAGAGACAAAGCCAACAGGUUGCUCCAUAAAUACUUCACGAUCUAAAUCUCCGUAAAGAAACGCAUUCUUUACAUCAAGUUGCCAUAGUCUCCAACCUUUAAACGCAGCAAGCGAAAUAAUCGAUCUCACCGUCACCAUCUUUGCUACUGGGUUGAACGUCUCCUCGUAGUCCAAUCCAUAAUUUUAAGAAAAACCACGACCCACCAGACGAGCUUUAAAUCUAUCAAUGGUGCCAUCCAAUUUUUUCUUCACGCGAAAAACCCAUUUACAAGUGAUUGACUUACAAUUUUCUGGUUUAGGAACCAACUCACACGUCUCAUUUUUGUCUAAAGCUUCAAUUUCUUAUUCCAUGGCUGCCUCCCAUUUUGAAUGGCCUUUGGCUUCUUCAUAACUUACUGGUUCUUCAUCAGACGCUCCAACAAAGAAACAAGAAGUGAUACUGCAAUGAUUAAGCUGCACCUCAUAGUCUCUGAGAUACUCAGGUUGUCUCGUUUCUCUGGUAGACCUCCUCACUCUCUGUUGCUCACCACCCUCAUGUCGUUGAACAUUCUGACUUGGAGUUGGUGUUGGAGAUUCAUUUUCCAACUCAUCAUCAGUAAAUGGUUGCAAAUUAACUCUUGGAAAUAGCUCAUCCAAGUUUUCACCAUCACCUUCAAGAACAAUAUUUUCUGCAGCAAAUCUUUGAGUGGAGUAGAAAGAUGAUAAUUCAUCGAACAUGACAUCUCUCGAAGUAGUAAACUUCUUCGUAUCCGGAUCCAUACACCUCCAUCCCUUCCUGUAAGAAUCAUAGCCAACAAAUACACACUUAUUUGCUUUCAGAUCAAGUUUAGUUCUUUUCGAUUUCAGAACAUGUACAUAACAAAUAGAACUGAAGACUCGAAAAUAAUUCACAUUUGGCUUUUCACCAUAUAAAAUCUCAAAAGGAGAUUUCUGUAUACCUGGCCAAGGAGGCAGCCUAUUUGUCACAUGACAUGCACAAAGAACAGCUUCCGCCCAAAGCUCUCGAGGAAGAUUCUUGUUAUGCAGCCAUGAAAGGCAAAUCGAAGCAAGAUAACCAAGCUUUCUUUCUGCAACUCCAUUCUGCUGUGGAGUAUCUGGACAAGUCAUUUGACGACAGAUGCCGUUGUCAUCACAAUACUGAAAAAAAAAAUCAUCGGACAUGUAUUCUCAGCCAUUGUCACUUCGAAGACACUUAAUCUUCUUUUCAAACUCUUUUUCAACAGCAGCUUUGAACUCCACAAACGUGGAUAAUGCUUCACUUUUCUCUUUCAAAAAAUUCACCCAAGCGAAACCUUGAGUAAUCAUCCACCAAAACCAUGACAUAACAGUGGCCGCUACAACUCUGUGUUCUCGUUGGUCAGGUCAAGUCCGUAUGAACCAAUUCGAGCAAAGAAGAUCUCCGAUUUGAUGAGCUUUUGAAAGGAAGACGAUGAGAUUUACCAUAUUAACAGCCUUGACAAAUCACAUCUUCAUGUACACUCUUCAAGAUCGGCAUCCCAUCUAACAACCUUUUCGAAGAAAUUUGUUGCAGCAUUUGGUACCCCACAUGACCCAAUCGAGCAUGCUAAAUAGCAGCGUUAUCGGUUUGGCUUGUUUUCUUCAGAUAAGCUUCACCUGCCGACAUAACGAACAACGAGCCUCUCUUUUCACCAGAAAACACAACAUCAACAGAAAUUUCUUUCACAUUAUCAAGCACCUUCACAUCUUUAGGGCCAAACAAGACAUAUUUUCCAGAAUCAGUAAUUUGAGAAAUUGAAACUAAAUUUUUCGUCAAACCUGGAACAUGAUACACAUCAAUCAAUUUGACACUUUCGGUUCUCGUAUCGUCGGCAACAUCGAUCACCACAACACCCUCUUUUGCUACCGGAUGAGUGGAGUUAUCCGCAGUCACAAUAACUCGAUCUCCACGGUGUUCAUGCAUCUCCGAGAACAAAGUAUCAUUUCCGAUUACAUGGUGAGAACAACCAGAAUCAAUGAUCCACUCCUCCUUCUUGUUAUCAGCAUAAUUGACAAAAGCUUUUGAUGACUUUUGUUCAAUAGCUUCAACAGUCAAGCAAUGCUCCCAAUUGAGUCGAUCAUCGGUUUCUUCCGUGGACGCGACAUUGGCCUUGGAAAUCUUCACACGGUAAUUUCUCUUGAUAUGCCCAGUCUUUCCGCAUCUGAAACAUUUGAAAGACUUUUUGCUUUGCGAGUUGCCAUCUUUUUCCGAACUAGAGUCUUCAGAUCUGCCUUUAUUUCCAAACUCAUAUCUUCUUGCUUGGCUUCCCUUUUGAGAAGAGAACGGCAUCAGAUUCGAAACUUUUCGCCAUCUGCUUUGCCAAAGCUUCUUGAUUAGAGAGCAAAUUCUCUAACUCCUCCACCGAAGGCUGUGUCGACCACCCUUGAAUAGAAGUGACAAAAAACCCAUACUCCUUCAAACUGCGGAUAAUAUAACGACGCAAACGAGCUUCACUAACUUUCUCAUCCGUAUCUAUCUCUAAAAUUUCAGCACAAAUAUUUUUAACUCGUAAAAAGUAUUCUGAAAUUGACAUACCUCCUUGUUUUAACCCGGCCAAUUCGUUCUCCAACAAUUGCAACCUUGCGGUAUUCUUCUUCGUAAACAACCUUUCGAGCGUUUCCCAAACUUCUUUUGAAGAGUUAACAUCACGAACAUGAUCAAUGAACUCUUUGCUAAUAGAAGUCCUUAAAGCAAAGAGAGCUUUACCGCACUUAACCUUCCACCUCCUUUGUGACUCGGCAUUCUCGAGAAUAUCAGGAGGGAUUGUUGCAUCAGCGUCAACAACCAAUCCCCACAAGUCCUGGCCUUGAAGAAAUGCCUUCAUACACAUCCUCCAAUACUUGUAGUUAGUGCCUACAAGUUUCUCCAUACCAAUCUGAUUAUUUCCUUCAUUUGAAACCUCCAUUGCAGCAACUAGCAAAACACCCUUUCACACAAUUAACCAAUGAAUAACCUGGCUCUGAGAUACCAUAAAACAAAAGGGAAUGACAAAGGCAAUGAAAGAAAUAAUAACAAGAAAAGCUCAAAGUAUUGAAGAACGUUUUUGGUUACUGAAAACACAAAAUUACAUUAGAUAAAAUGACAUAUAAAUAGCCUAACUACAUGUAACGUUAAAGCUAAAAACAUGCAACUAAUAGCCCACUAAAACCUUAACUAACAAAACAUAAUCUGAUCAUAUCCCUAUAAAAUAGGAACCAACUUAUUUCAUAAAGAAAACAAGUAAAUUAAAAAAUCAAGUAAGAUGCACUAAUUUUUAACAAGUCGGGCUCGAGCCAAAAAUUCUGACUCAAGGCCCGACUCAUUUAGAAAGAAGGCUUUAUUUUUUGUCUAAACUUAUUUUUCGGGCCUAUAUUUUUGCUCAAACCUUCCCAUUUCUCGAAUGGAUUUUGAGUUUGAACAAGUGACCCAAACCGUGAUGAGGUCUAGCUGUAAGUACCUUUUAUAAAUUAUUAUUGUAUAUUAUUUUAAAUUGUUUUUCAAAUUAUUGUUUUAUUUUAUUUUUAGAUUGAAAUUUUGAAUUUUUAUGUAACCACUGAUCUCUACUUCUGUAAAUAAAAAUUUCUAUGAAUAAGUGAAUAAAAUCGUGAUCACAGCAUAUAAUUAAUAAUAAAAAUUACAAUAAAUAAUAAUUUCAUCUACUUUUGAAAUUAAUAUAAUUUGAAAUAAUUGUACAUUAUUAUAGUAACAUAUUAUCUUUUCAUCGGUGUUUUUUUUUGUACUUUUGUAAAAAUUUAAAUUCCAAAAUCAACUAUAAAAACAUAUAUUGUUAUUUUUAAAAUAUCAUGAAUUCUUUUAAAAAAUUAAAAUAAUAAACUUAUACUAAUUAAAAUCUAGAGAACGUAACAUCGGUUAUAGUAAAAUCCGAGCAUCAGUUGAUUAUAUUGGACGCCAUCUAUUGAUAAUCAUCUGAUCAUUCAUUACCAACGCAUGGAAGCUUGCAAUCUCAGCCACACGGAAAUUUACAGUGUUAUAUUUAUAGACAAUAUGACCAAAAAAGGCAGAUCGUAUAAAUCAGAGGUGUUGGCAUCCAAUUUAAUUUCAGUUUUAGUUAAUCUUUUUUUUGUAUUUACUUAGACCGACUGUAACCCUCAAUUUUUGCUUCAACUUUUCCAAUUUGUUUAAUAAUAAAAAUUGUAAUAAUAAACGUUUAUAAUAGCGGUAAAAUCAUCUUAAAUCAAUUAAAAAAAGAAGAAUAAGAACACAUAAAUUUUACGUACAAAUAUUUUUGAAAAAAAAAAUCACGACAGAAGAGGAGAAAUUCACUAAUGUUGAAAAAUAAAUGAUAUACAAUAGGAGUUUUGACUACGUCUAUUAAAGAGUUGAAAAGUCCUGUUCUAAUCAAAUUCAGAUAGAAAAAGAAUAAUUCUAUACGGAUUCAACUUGUGUUGUAUGGUCCGUAUCGUGAAGGCUUUGCCCCUACACAUCCUUUUGUUUUUACUGUAUUUAUUUUUUUAACAAGUGACGAGAUUCGAACAACACAAAAUCUAACAAAAAGAUAUAUAUAAUUUAGAUUCAUUCAAAUAAUUAAAUGUUAUUCAACAUUUUUAUUUUUGAAAUUUAACUUUUUACUCUCUUUUUUUUUUUAAUUUACACUCUUGUUUAAAUAUAUAUACGUCCUUCAAAUAUUAAACCAAGGUUGAAGAUUUUCCUUUCGAACAAUAAUGAAGCUUGAAGAUGGAAGACCUAACUUACAGUCGAACACAUAAUGAUAUUACAAUAUUAUAUCAUAUUCAGAAAAAGUAUGGCUAUCUUUUUUAGGGACAGCAGAAUUCCGAGUUGUUACUUCCAAGAAAAGAAAGCAGUUGGCAGUUGACGACCCAUAACCAUAUGCUACGAUUCCAGCAAUAGAUAUCCGCCAGGAACCUACAUUUAUAAAUUUGCGGAUCAAUUCGCAAUAAUGGGAUCAAAUCUAAACAUUAUUAUAUAUUUGAUUUUUAUGAUGUUCAACCUGGUAUCUUGGGAGUACAAUCAACUGCAGUACUAUACAGCUUGUAUUAACGGAGAAUUAAUUACUCAAUUAAUAGUAAAUUCAACAACUAAACAUUAAUAUAUUUGAAUUGAAUCGGAUUAGUUGGUCGGAUCGAAAUUGAUUGAAGUAUCGUUUCGAAAAAUAACACUGAAACGAUUGAAUCGGAAUUUAGUACAAACUAAUUAAACCAGUUAAAAAAUUAAUUAAACUUACGGUUAAUUGUUUCUUUAAUAUAUUUUUAUUUGUUUAAUUUUUUAAUUUAAUUAUUCAAAUUGACUAACCAAUGGCCUAACCAGUUUAAUUAUAGAUCUGAUCCUGCAAACAUAUGAUUACCCCAACAGCAAAACAACCAAUCAACGACGUAAAUUAUGCAUGCAUGCAUGUUCUCAUUUUUAUCUAUGUGGUUAGGGAUGUAACAAGUUACAUGUUGAAUUACAUAAUUACCUCAAAAUCUUAGCAUUUUGAUCAAUAUGAGAUUUGAAUGGAAACAUCAAGUGAACGAAAGGGCUGGCAAGGAUUAUAUUGCGAAUUAGCCAGCCUUGGUGCUGACCAUUUUGGUGUUUAUUUUAUGCACACCCAUAUCUUGGGUGACAACUAAACACGUGGGGGCUUUCGUCUUCAUAUUCCCCGUUUGGCGUCUUCAUGUUUUCCCCACCUUACCAAACUUCUUAAUGUUAUAAAUCUAAAGAUCAAUUCUGAAUAUUGUGGUAUGAUGUAUUAGAGACUGCUAUGAUAUUCUUACUUGAUUCUAUCAAAUCAGUGAGACUUAUAUAUAGCAAACCAAUGUUAUUAAAUGACCUACCCUUCUUCAUUCUAUAAUUAAGAAGAAAAGGUAAUUGUGUUGCUCUUUUGGGCCCAAACUUUGAAAAGCUGGUCUAUUGGGUUUAACGCUUGAGUACCUUAAAACCAAAUUCAGCCGAAAAUGGCCUAGACAAGAGUUUUUGAAUUUUUUUUUUUACUUUUUGGAAAAGUCUAAAAUAGUACUUCAAUAAAUAAUUUAUUCGGAAAAUUCGAUCUGAUUAUUUAUUUGUUGCUUUGACUUGUCACACAGUUCACGACUCGAGGUUUUACACCUUGUGAUUUUAUGUCUUCUUGGAAAUAAUUAAUCUUUCAAUUCUCAAUUAUUUGAUAAAAUUUCAAAUAAUUUAAUAUUCAUUUUUAUUCACUUCACUAAUAAAGCAUAUAGAUUUAUCUGGUAUCAAUACAUCCAGUAAUAGUAUAAAUCCAAGACUAUAGCUAUUAUUAUUAUCGUUCAAAACAAUAAAAAAAUAUAUAAAUUAUAUAUUUUCAGUAUCUACAGAUUUUAUUGCAUUCUCCAUUUGCGUAGUUAGGAGUUAGGACAAGUUCAUUGUUGGGCACACAGAUUGUUAUCUCCUCUGGAAGUUGAAGGCUUUUAUUGCAAAAGCGAAAAUCACUCCGAAGAAGAUGACGAAAAAGGCUACCAUUAAAGCAGCUAUUACCAAGAAAUCAUGGCGAUACCCGAACACUUGUUCCAGUAACUGUCUUGUAGGCAUUGAGUGCACUCCAUCUGAUAAUUUCACCGCCCUUUCAUCAUCAGCGUAUUGUGAAACCACGAGGCCGUACAAACUCCACGCUAUGGGAUUUGCCCAGUAAUACCAUCUCCACCAAAUGGGAAUUCUCUGGCAAAUUUAUUAUUACAAAUAAAAACAUGAAUGUGAUUUAAAAGGUCCUCCAAAUUGAAUAAUAUGUUUAUAUCAGUACAUUCUAAAAUCUGCAACUGGAAAACGAUGGGAUGAGUUUGAUGGAAGCCUAUAGUUAUUUAGGGAUGGAAAUGGAGCGAGCCUCAUCUACCUCCAUCCCCUUCUUAUAAAUGUUACUGAUGCUCUUUCUCUCUCAAUAAACGUAAGUGUGCAAUUAUGAUAAACACACUAACACAAUUUUUUACCUGGAAAACCUCCCUUUAAAGCAAAGUUUAAAAUUCACAAGAAUUGAAUUGAGACUCCACUAAAAGGUCAUGCUAAAAUAUCACAAUUAUUAUAAUGAGCAUAUAACUCUAAAAAAGCCAACAAGUAAUCCCAAGUAAGAAGGAAAAGAAGCUAAGAGUGGAUCAUGGAUGAACCCCCGAUUGAACAGUUGAUCGAAACUGCUUUCCUUUUGAGUGUGCCGCCUCUCACUUGCCCAACAUUCUAACGUGUAAAAUGUUCCCCCCACCUUUUUAUUAAAGGGCAAAGUGAGUUUUCCACACAUAGUGAGACUCACGGCCCAACAAUAUGUCUCCAUGAAUAUUGGUGAUGUCCAUAACCAAUUUGCGUUGUUUAUACAAUAUCUUUCAGAUCCACUUGAAUGCUAAUGAUUUUUUUAGGGAUGCAUGCUAUGUCAAUCUAAAUACAUACCUAUAUGUUGGAUCUUUCAUACCCAUAUCUGAAUAUUGUCUAAGAGGAUGCUGGAUGUAAGUACAACAAAAAUAACACAAUCGGAGCAAGACAGAAAACAAGAACACAUAGCAGAUUAGGCGAGAUGAAGAGUGAAGAAAGCAGCUGCUUUAUUACCUUGUGGGGAAUCAUAAAGCCGCUAAAAAGGUUCCAAAGCAUAUAAAACGGAGCCGCGAUGAUAGCAGCCACAUUGUGAUUUGGUGUGACAGCAGUAGUCAUCAUUCCAUAGAAGGUGAAGUAUAACAGAGUUGAGUACAUAAAGAAUAUGUACCAAAUGAAUUUCAAAGCAGUCCACUCAAAUGAGGCCAUAGAGUAGAAUAUCGAACAAUAAAUUACCGACUGUGCAAAUACAUAAGGGAACUCGAUAGCAACCUGCGAAGCAAACGGAAUGAAUCAGCUCAUUUCUGUAGAAAAAGUAAAGGGAAUAUGCAGCUUCUAUUUGUGUGGAAUGCUGAAAAUAGAAGGUAGACCUGAGCAAAAGCAAAGGCUAGGCCUGAAUACAUUCCUGCGGCUCUUUCUCUGUAUGAAACGAAUCUCUCAAUGGACACAACAGGUUGAACAGCAGUUGCAUUUGUAAUACCAAUGAAGAGGACUGCCGCAUACAUCGACCCCAUUGCAUUGAACAAAUCUUGCUGGCUCUCCCUGUAAGUGAAACACAGAGGAACAAAAUAAGCACAUAAAACAACUCAGAUUCUUUACUAUAUUGAUUUGAAAUAAUAUUUAGAAGAUAACUAGAAAACCUUUGUGAACCGAAUUUCCAGCAUAUUGUUCCAAGCAUCAACGAAAUGACAAUGGUGUAGAAGAAUUUAACUGCUGUGUAUUGGGGGUUUCGCCAAUAAGAUAGAUUUUGCUUCCAAAGACAAGUUAAAAACUGUUCAAAAAAUGACUGGGAAUACUUGGAUGGAAAGUUCAAUUCUUUUGAAUUACUACUUGGCUUGCUCAGAUUUUCAACCAACUCCCUGUUGCGUCUGAAAGAAAGCAAGAAGAUGAAGUUACAAAAAAAAAAAAAAAAGAUUUUGAAAGGUAUUGUUUAGAACUAAAUAAAACCUAAUUGUAAGCGAAUCAAAAGUAUUCCUACUGAAAUAGAUUAGAUCUUCGAUAAAUGUCUGCAAAGUCCAAACCCAAACGGUUUUCUUCAGCUGUAGAAGUAACCUCAAGCAUCCAAGCAGCAGGAUUGUAGCCAGGUCUGAUCUUAGGCACUCCUUCAACUGCCUAGAAAACCAAAAUAUAGAUCAGCAGGAAUAAGGACAAAUUCUACUCUCUUUUCUGGGCCAGUGGCCAAGUUCAUAGUUCACUAGACCAUAUGAAAUACUUAUUCUAGUAGCUAAACAUACAGAAUCUGACCUCAAAAUACUUUAUGAGUUCGCUAGAGUUGGGGCCUAGUGGACCAGCAUAUAUGAGCUCUCCUCCACGUUUCAUAAAUAAAAGCUGCCAUCAUAGAUUAAAUGAGAAGCUGAAUGAAGAUGGGAUCAAAAUGGCAUUUCUAUAUUUGUGCAUAUAUUUGUGUGUAAGAUCAUCUGUAAAACAAAUUCUCAAAGAGAGAAAAAGACCUCGUCAAAGGAUUCAAAAAUGUCUAUGCUGGGCUGAUGGAUAGUGCACACAAUUGUUCGUCCGGUAUUCACAAUAUUUCUCACAGUCCUCAUCACGAUGGCAGCAGAUCUAGCAUCCAAUCCCGUUGUAGGCUCAUCCAUGAAGACUAUAGAUGGGUUGGCGACAAGUUCAACAGCAAUAGUUAACCUUUUCCGCUGUUCAGUGGACAAGCCAUCAACACCUGGCAGACCAACCAAUGCCCCACUUAAUGGAGUGAGCUCCACAAGUUCCAUCACCUCCUCAACAAAUGCCUGAGAAUCCAUCCCUAAAUAAGUCAAUACGGUACACCAUGCUGUCAAAUAGUACUAUACAAGCAUAAAUAAAGAUAUGUUCCAAUUACCCUUUGUAUCUCCAAGUCAACAUCCGAUGGUAAUCGAAGCCAAGCAGAGAACAGAAGUGAUUCCAGAACGGUCAAACAAGGAGAAUGAAUAUCAUUCUGCUCGCAAUAACCUGAAAUUCUUGCAAAAGUCUCUUGCCUUUUCGGAUAACCAGAUAUAUUUAUGCUCCCUUCUAUGACCCCUCCAGUUUUCCGACCAGCUAAAACGUCCAUGAGUGUAGUUUUACCAGCACCACUGACACCAACCAAAGCUGUAAGUACACUAGGUCUAAAUGCUCCAGUAACAUCAACCAACAACUGCAAUCUGUCUUCAGUUAUACCUUGUUGUUUCAACUCCUGGAAAAACACAUAGUCAAAAAGUUAACUCAUCAACAUAUUUCUAUAAAAUAAUUAGCAUAGGAAAUAGGACAAUAUACUAUACCACAGGGAUCUCCACAAAGUAAUUUAUAUUGCUGAAAGACAUAGAAAGUGGUUGAAAUGGGAGAACCAUGCCUCUGUGCUUAAAAUAGUUUCCUGCCCAGCAGUUGAAUAAAAAGAUUGAAACAUUUGGCAGCAUAAAAGAAAAAAAGGCUAAAGAUCGGAAAUGUCUUUUGCUCACCAUUUACUGAGCUUGAAUAUUGCAAAUAAUGUCUCAGCUCAGUUACAUUUUCACCCUUCCUUCUAUUGUCUCUCUCUUGCAGCUCUUCCUUGGAGAAAACUGCCUGUUGCUUCCCCAGAGCUAUAAUAAAUGACAAAGGCAUAAAUUUGAUUAGAUUUACACCAGAUAUCAUAUAUGUUUUCCUUGGAAAGGAAAUUCAUGAUGGACAAAUUUCAAUAGGAAUGAGAUGGCUUACGGUUAAGGUUAGCUAGAAAGAAUGUAAAUAGAAUAUUGAGCAAAACUGUAUAUCCAAGCAAAGCACCAACACCAAUCCAAUACCAGUAGCUCUCUGGAAAAUAGCUGCGUGCUCUCAACAGUGCCUCACCCAGUGAGAAGUUAGUGUAGUUUCCAGCUCUCUGUAAAAAUGGAAAUUAAGUACGGUGAGUUUCAAGCUUCAACAUAAGAUUGAAGCCAAAUUCCAACUUAAAUCAUCACACAUUCAGAGAACAUGAUUCACAUUUCACAAAUGGAAGAACCAGGAGCCCAAGAAGGGUGAGACACAAAUAUCAAGCUACUAAGCAUAAGUCUAACUAAAUAGAUAGAUAGAUUGCUCAGAGGCAUUGUCACAAGCUUAGGCAUGCUUGCUCAUGAAGUUAAAAAGCAUAAAAAAGAAAAACUAUAAUGUUGCUAAAAGGAAAUGGAAAGUACUUCUCUAACUCGCCCAUUAAUCACAAAAUAAAAGUGCAAGCUUAGCAUGUUUAUGCUAACUAUCAACAAUCAUUCAGCAGUUAUUGCUGCUGAUUUUAUUCUUCUCCAGACAUCAUUAGUAUUGCUGCAUGAUGACAGAUUAACAGAAUAUUCCACAGCGCCAAAAUAAUUAAUGCAAUAAUAAAUAUUUAUAGAUGUUACCUUAUUCCAAGAAUGUCCAAGGAAUUCAUUGACAGAGGCUGCAUUUUGAGCAUACAUCAAAGGAGAAACCCAAUAACCCCAGAUCCACCAGCUAGGGAUAUGAUCUGUCAGAUUGAAGAAGAAUAAGUAAUCAUAUCGCAAUUAUAGAAAAUGGAGAGCAUGUUUGUCUAACCUCUUGAAAUGAUAUAUCCUCCAAGAGCCAUGACCACCAACAUAGCAAAAGAUCCAAAGGUGUUGGCAACUAUCAUAUUUCUGCCCAAGGAGCCUAUCACACGAAAAAGAGCUAUAGACAUCUGGUGCAGACAGAAAUAUAACAAGAACUGCCGAAGAAAUCUGCAAGGUUCAGAAUUAAAGUGAAGAUUGAAUCUCAAAACUGCCGCGAUACAUGCAAAAAUCAUCGAAAACAACUUUACCUGGUGAGGUUAGGAUCAUAACCAAUUACGUAGUAUGAAAUUGCCACCCAGAAACCAGACUCGUAGAGGGAAGUUGGAAUACUUAGCAGCCAAGAAGGCAGCGUAUAAGCCCAAGUUGGAUAGAAAUGCAAAUCCCUGUGCUUAUAAAGAACAGGAAGUUUGGCCACCAACAUUGAAACCUCCGUAAAUCCAUUGAAAAGAAUAAUGACCAUGGAAAAGUAAAGUGCCCCUAGAUACAAUCCUCCAUCAUCGAUUGUAUUGUGAUGCAGCACAGUCCGCAUAAAAACGCUCAUUGUGAUUAGUGCAACAAUAAAAAGCUGGACAAGGAAAGAAAAAACUAAAAAUCAUAUUACAUCUCAGUGGAACUGUGAAAUGAGUUGUUAUGACAGGAGGAUAGAAAGAGAAUAAGGUUAACCAAAUCAUUAGAAGUGUGCUAGUGUUUUGAAUCGUGAAGUUUUAACACUUACCUGAAUAAAUUUGAAAACAUAGAUAAAUGAAUUCCGUUUCAUCAGUAGCAUCUGCCAGUUAAAGUUGGUUUUAAGAAGUUCAUUCUUCUUCACUCCAUAGCGAGAAGUUGACAGUGCUGCUGGAUGGCUAUAACGCUUAUCAAAUGGAAUGCUUAGUUCCUCGUACAAAUUCUUCCCAGUUUGAUAGGAUCGGAAAGCUUCAGAAAAUUUUCCUGGAGUAAUGUAACGAUAAGGCUGGAAAGGAAGAGACCAAUACUGUUGUUGAUCCUUUUUCGACAAAACCUGUGCACAGAAAACUUGAGCAAAUAGAAUACCAUAUAGAUUGUAUGUCUAAAAAUCAAGCUCUAGCCCCAUACCUCUUGCAAGAAGUCUGCCACAUUCUUUCUUUCAGGACACUUAAAUCCCAUAAAAGCAAAGAAAUCAAGGGCCUCCUCACGAGGCCCCUGGUAUACAAUCUGGCCCUCACAUAAAAGUAUAACAUCAUCAAACAACUGGUAAGUUUCAGGAGCUGGUUGAAGCAGAGAAAUCACAGUAGUCCCAUCGAGUGCACAGGUUGAAUGUCUCAAGUAUUUAAUAAUUUGAUAAGUAGUAGAACUGUCGAGCCCAUUCGAAAUUUCAUCCAUGAACAACACCCUGGCUGGCCCAACUAGUAAUUCACCUGAAAUAACAGUUCUGGCAAAUCAGCAUGAAUGAAACCAAAUAGCUCCUUCUUUGAAUAAAACACACAUACACGUAGCUCCUUAGUACACGACCAGAGGAGAAGGUACACAACAAAUCAUAAACCUGUUGUAAGCCGCUUUUUCUGGCCACCGGAUAUCCCUUUAAGCAUUUCAUCUCCCACCAAUGUAUCGGCACAUAGAUCCAACCCUAAAAUCUUUGUCAAAUGAAUUUUAGUGCCUCAGAAGAAUCAGUGAAACUUAGGUCUUGUUGAAGUGCAGUUGGUAAGAAAAAUGUGUCACUUAAGGCCUUGAAAAGUAUAUUAAGUGCAGUGGCACAUGCAUCAAGGAGAAACCAACAUCUUGAAAAUACCUUCAUGAUGUAUUCAACCACGAGGCUUGUCUCGUUUCCCCCCAAAGCUAGUGACUAGAAACAGGAAGUUGUGUCAUUAAUAACUCUUAGCCAUAAAGAUCUACUAAAAUGAAAACAUAACUACCCAAGAAAUAGGGGAAACACAUCCAUCUCACCUACCUUCAUAAAGAUAUCAAGAUCUUCAUCAGGUUUUAUCCCAGCAUUCUUUUCUCUUCUUGCAAGUUCCACAAGCAUGUCUUUUGCAAGCAGACAUAAGUAAGCAACAUGGAAUUGCGACUUAUGGAUGUAAAGUUGAUUUCUCAAUGCUUACCAUAUUUAGAUCCAACACCUUGACACCGUCCUGCAAAUUCAAGUGUUUCCCUCACAGUCAUUUCUGCCACAUGCCAGUCCUGUUGGCUCACAUAAGCAGAUGUCCUUGGAGGAACGAAUUCCUUUAGCCCAUGUCCAUUAUAUGUAACUUCCCCUGACAUCUUCAAAGCGAUAAAAUAUAAUGAAUAACAAGAAAGAGUAUUGACAUAAACGCAAUCUUCCUAGCAUCUAAAUACCUGCAAAUGAGUUCCAAGGCGUCCAGCCAGAGCCAACAGCAACGUUGUCUUUCCAGAACUUGGAGGACCUAAUAGUAGCGUUAAUCUGCCAAAAUAUGUAGUAAUUAACAGUUCCGCACCUCAACAUUAUGAAUCCAUAUGCAACAAUAAGUAGCAACGCAUUCAAACGCACCUUGAAGGCCUUACAAUCCCACUACAAUCGUCUAAUAUAGUUAACUUACUUCUCCUUCCUUGAUACAUACGCAAUUGUCUCAAAAAUGCCUGAAAACCACAUUUUUUUAAUAACUAGAAAUUAAAAUGAGCAUGGCCGUAAAUAGCUUUAUAUCCCAAAGUCGGUCAAUGGUUUAAGAUUUUACCUCUGCCAUAUUAAAGAUAAAAUUGGGGAUUGUUGGCAAUGCUCUGCUCCCAACAUGAACAAAAGAUUCAACAGUCAGAUUCUGAAACCGAACCUCAAUCUUCGGGAAUUUCAAAUCUACUCUGUGACACCACAAAUAACCACAGCAAUAUUUAAGCAACUGUUAGCACCGAGGCGAGAAAACAAUAGAAAACAGUCUCAACUUAGAAAAGAAAUGCAAUAGCUAGCUUCUUAUUUUCCCAGAAAAUGAAAAAUAUAAUAAUAAAGGUUUAAAUUAUUUAAGUUUUACUUUUAAAAACGAUCACAAAUGUUAGUAUUUGAUGAAUUAAUAAAUUUUUUAAAAAUAUAAUCAUAAAGUUCACUUGACUGAAGCCAACAAAAAGGGCGACCGAUGUCACUUUAGAACAAAAUUUCGUCGCUAAAGUUCAAAAACAAGCUUUUGCUUGUAAUUAGUGGAAGGUAUUAGUAUGAUACAUUAAUUGUUUUUAAGUCAAAAAGAUUGAUUCAUAGAUGCUAUUAACAUUGUUUCAUAGAUUCUAAUAACUUAGCUUAGCUAAUUAAACCGUACGGUCAAACUAACGUCAGAUUUUAAAAAAAGGAUCAAAAGAUCCCAAAAUCUUGAUUUGCCAUUCUUGUCAAUAUAAAAAACAGCAGAGAGUUAUUCUCUAUGUUCUUUCUUUUAAACUUAACAGAACACUAAACCAAACACACACAGAAAAAAAAGUAAGUAAAUCCAGCAUUACGCCUCGAUUCGUUUCCUCAUACGAUCAAAGAACUGUUCAGGAUCAUCCUCGGCAGAUUUAACGAGCCGUUCGAGUAAAAGCCUUUGAUCGGUUAACUCGAGCUCGCUCACAUCCACUUCUUUGGAGUCGCCAACCAUGUUCCUAAAGAUUCCCCUUCGAACUCGAGCGUAAGUUGGCAACCUCUCCAGCGCCGCCCACCUCAGUGCCUCCUCCUCCUCAUCUUCCUCCCUGAACGAAGCCGACCUGGAGAACACAUUCUCCGCCGAGUUCCACAUUGCCUCCUUUCAAAGAUCUAAACAACAAAAGAAAAAAAAAAGAAAACCAAACCCUAGAGAGAUUAAAGAAACAAGAAAAAAGAGAGUACAAUUGUGAGAUUUAGAAAUGUGGCUGAGAGUGCUUUUGUAAGUAGAGAUUGUAGUCUUCAAAAUAGGUAGUUGAGCUUUGCAAUUGCAUUUAUGGCGGGUUUUUUUUUAUUUUUGUAAAAUUGGGGGCUCUGUUUUCGGCUAACGUAAUUGUAGAAAUGCUUACGUCGUUUAACUUUCUGUUGCAUCCGUUCGGUACGUUAUCAUUAAUAGCCGCGGGAAAAGAAUAUAAAAGUGGCGGGGGCAACCUCUCGAGUCGCGUACACUGUAAUCGCUCUUAGAUUGUGAAAUAUGUAAGGUUAAAUAUGUUAUAAGCCCCUGUAACUUUUAAAAAUUUAAAAUUUAGUCUUUAUACUUUUCAAUUUUCAAGAUUCAGGUCCAAUGGUUAAUAUUGUUGUUUUUUGUUAAAUUCAUUGGUGUGAUAUUUUAAAACUAAAAACUAAAAAUAUUUUAAUAAACCUGAAUUUAUCAAAAAAAGUAAUAAUAUUAACAGAUUUGAAUUUUAAAAUCUAAAAAAGAGAUAAAUUAAAUUCUCAAAAUAAAAGUAUAAGAAUUAAAUUUCAAUUUUUUGAAAAAUACAGGGACUUAUGAUACAUUUUAACCUAUGUAACUUGGGCUACACACGUGAUGAGGAUGCGGGGAGUGGGUUUAUGAUUAAUAGAUCUGAGAGUGGGCUGAGAAUCAAUGUCCGAUGUUUCUAAAAGUGAAGAACACGAAUCACCGGCAGCGGCAGAACAAGACAAGGGCAUGUUUUGUAAAUUGUAACGAACCCCUUAUUUUCUUUCUUUUCUAAAAUAAAAUUAUCAUGUACUUUUAUGCAAUUUGCAUGGUGUAUGGCAAGAGAGAUUUAUUGAUUUAAUAAAUUAAAGUAAUAGUAUAUUGCAGAGCCGACAAAAUAAAAAGAAAUUAUUUAACGAUAGGAAAAUUGAAAUUAAUAAAAUAUAGCAUAAGUUCUUUACAAAUUUAUAAUCUAGUCUAUAUAUUUUUUAUUUUGAUAAAUUUAAUCCAUUUACUUUUCAGAUCUUAAAUUUCAAUCUAAACUAUUAAUAUGGUUAUUUUGUUAAUAGUUUGAUUAGAAUUUUAAAAUUUAAAAAAUAAAAUAAUUAUUUUAAAAAAAUAUAUAGGAUUAAAUUUCAAAUUUUCAAUCUUGAAAAAAAAAUAUCAGCUAUUUUACGAUGGACAGUCUUUUUAAAAAUUUAAGACAUAAACACUCAUAUUUUAUUCUUUAAUGUUUUUUAUUUUGAAUAUUAAUAAAUUUAUUGACUAUAUUAAUAUCAGUUGACUUGUUGUUAAAUAACUUCACAACCAUAAAUAUUAAAGAAAUUAUAAAUGAUAGUAACUAUUUUUUAUUAAUAAUAAAAUGACAAAUUAAAUUAAAGAAGAGACCAUCAUAUUCAACCACAAAUUGGGACUUUGAAUUAGGUGUCGGGAAAACAUGCAUUUAAUUUCUGUAACAAUUUUAGUUCCACCUAAUUAAACAACUAUAUAAUAUAAUUGUUGUUCCAAUAGGGUCGGAAGCGUGUAAAUUAUUGUACUAAAAAAUCACACAAAGUUCAAUUCUCAGGAAAGAUAGGUGGAUCACAUGGAUCUCUUAAAUACCAAGUCUUUCCUUAGACAGAAUAUCCCUUCUAUAGUAAUUUAAUAGCACAAUUAAAUACUACUAUUAUACCCUCAAAUAUUGAAAGAAAAAUAGGACAAGAAAGAACACAAGAGUUUUAACGAGGUUCGAUAAAUUAUACCUACGUCCUCGGGCACUAACACCAGAUGAUAACUUUACUAUCUCCAAAGUAUUACAAACAAAUAGAAUUCCUUAAGAAUUCUCAAAUGGGAGAAGAGAGAAAACUAAGAGAGAAAGAUUGGUUGGGAUGAAUUGAAAUGAGAAAUGAGAAGGCCUAUUUAUAGUUGAGGUUCAAGGACCAAACAAUAAAUAGCCCAUUAUCUCAAGGACCAAAAAAAAAAUUAUCCCUUGCCACUUUUCCAAAGUUGGUGGUUGUCAUUAUUGAUUGUCUCCCAUUAAUGUUAAUGGCAACCAUUAUUAAUUGUCUUCCAUUAAUGUUAACAAUCUCCACCUUGAAGAUUUGAUUAGGAUAAUCACAUCUUCACACACUUCCUUCAACUCCCCAAAUUCGAUAAAGCUAUCUUUUGUAGUGCCUACAAAUGCGCUCUCGAGCGCCAUACACCUGAAGGUGCUCAAAUUCUCAGGAUGUUAAUCAAGUUCAAACAAUGAUUAAACUUGAUUGUUGUUACCACCUUGGUCAUCAUAUCUGCGGGAUUAUCUGCUGUCGGAAUCUUCUGAAGUAGAAUUUUUCCUUUUUCAAAGACUUCCCGCACAAAGUGAUAUCUUACGUCGAUAUGCUUGGUUCUUGAAUGAUAGACUUGAUUUUUCGCUAAAUGAAUAGCGCUCUGAUUGUCACAAUAUAAACUUAUGUGACUUUGAACAACUCCUAAGUCUUUCAACAAUCCAUUAAGCCAAAUAGCCUCCUUAACAGCUUCUGUAACUGCCAUAUAUUCUGCCUCUGUAGUAGACACAGCUACUGUAGACUGUAAGGUAGACUUCCAACUCACUGAGGCUUUCGUAAGAGUAAACAGAUACCCCGUAGUUGAACGACGUUUAUCUAAAUCACCAGCAAAGUCGGAAUCAACAUAUCCAACUACGAACUGACCAAGUGCUUCAUCCUGUUCAAAAAUUAAACCAACAUCUACGGUUUUUUGAAGAUACUGUAGAAUCAAUUUCACAGCUUGCCAAUGUCCUUUUCCAAGAUCAUGCAUAUACCUGCUCACAACUCCAACAGCUUGUGAAAUGUCAGGCCUCGUACACACCAUCGCAUACAUCAAACUCCCAACUGCAUUAGCAUAUGGGACUUUCGCCAUAUAUUCUCUUUCAUCUUCAGUCUUCGGAGAUAAUUGAGCACUAAGUUUCAAAUGAGAAGCAAGUGGGGUACUUACAUGUUUUGUGUUUUCAUUUACACCAAAAUAUUGUAAUACUUUUUCAGAUAUUGCUUUUGAUUUAAACAGAGCUUGCCUCUCGGUCUAUCUCUACUUAUCUCCAUGCCGAGAAUCUUCUUGGCCUCACCUAGAUCUUUUAUCUCGAACUCUUGAUUCAACUGAGCCUUCAGCUUAUCUAUCUCAUUUUGGCUCUUCGAAGCGAUUAACAUAUCAUCAACAUACAAGAGUAGAUAAAUGAAAGAUCCGUCAUGCAGCUUCUGCAAAUAUACACAAUUGUCAUAUUUGCUUCUUGUGUACUUCUGCCUUCUCAUAAAGCUAUCAAAUCGCUUGUACCACUGCCUCAGGGUUUGCUUCAAUCCAUAUAGCGAUUUGUUCAGCUUACAAAUCCAAUUUCUACCACCAGCAUCUGUGUAUCCUUCGGGCUGAGUCAUAUAGAUCUCCUCUUCUAACUCACCAUGUAAUAAAGCCGUCUUAACAUCAAGUUGAGCUAGCUCCAAAUUCAACUGUGCUACCAAGGCCAACAAAAUUCUAAUGGAGGAAUGCUUCACAACAGGGGAAAAUACAUCAUUGUAGUCAAUUCCCUCCUUCUGAGCGUAGCCUUUAGCUACCAAUCUUGCCUUGUAGCGAAUAUCCUUCUUGCUAGGAGAUCCAUAUUUCUUUGCGAAUACCCACUUGCAUCCGAUUGCCCUUUUACCUUUCGGUAAUUGCGCCAACUCCCAAGUAUUGUUCUUCCGGAGAGACUGCAUUUCUUCAUCCAUGGCGCUUUUCCAUUUAUCACUUUCUAAGCUUUGCAUUGCUUCUUGAUAAGUGAUAGGAAUAUCAUCAACAAUGGGAAGGGCGUAGGCCAUUAUAUCAGUAAAUCGAGCAGGUUUACGAAUUUCUCUCCGUGGCCUUGCAACUGCAACUGGUUUUGGUGUACUUAGUGGUUCUUGGGUCAGAACCUCUUUAACCUCUAAUUCCUCUAUUGUGGCUGGAGAAUUAGACUUAUUAACUGGGCAAAUCCCCAUCUGCUCAAACUCCACCUGUUUUGGAGUACACUCCACCUGCUGUGGAGUAUUGCUCGUCUGAAUAUCUUUAUCUGCUACCUUUUUCAAUGUGUCAGAUUCAUCAAAGGUAACAUCUCUGCUACAGAUCAUUUUCUUUGUGCUUAAGCACCAAAGACGAAAUCCCUUCACUCCAGAAGUGAUUCCCAUAAAGAGAGCUUUCUUUGCCUUCGGAUCUAACUUUGACUCCUUCACAUGGUAAUAUGUAGUGGUUCCGAACACAUGUAAGGAAUCAUAAUCUGUAGCCGAUUUUUCAGACCAUACCUCCAUAGGAGUUUUUCUUUCUAAUGCAGAUGAUGGCAAACGAUUAACAAGAUGGCCAGUGUAUGUCACAGCCUCAGCCCAAAAUUGCUUGUCCAACCCAGCAUUGGACAACAUACAUCGAACUUUCUCCAGCAAUGUUCGAUUCAUACGCUCUGCCAAUCCAUUCUGCUGUGGUGUAUCCCUAACUGUGAAGUGUCGAACAAUACCAUACUCUUGGCACACAUCGAAGAACGGAUCACUUUUAUAUUCCCCUCCAUUGUCCGUCCUAAGCCGCUUGAUUUUCUUGCCAGUCUGGUUUUCGAUCAUAGUUUUCCAUUUAAGAAAAACUCUAAGCACUUCAUCCUUAGUUCUCAUGGUAUACACCCAAACUCUUCUGGAAAAGUCAUCAACAAAAGUAACAAAGUAGUGUUUUCCUCCCAAUGAAGGUGUCUUGGAAGGCCCCCACACAUCUGAGUGAACAUAUUCUAAAAUACCUUUUGUAUUAUGGAUAGCAGUGCCGAAUUUCACUCUCUUUUGCUUUCCCAGAACACAAUGCUCGCAAAAUUUUAAUUUGCAAGCCUUUGCACCUUUCAACAAUCCUUGUUUUGCCAGAAUUUGCAAGGAUUUUUCGCUGGCAUGUCCCAACUUCAUAUGCCACAACUGUAUUGAGUCCAAUUCUUUGUUGCCGGAAGCUGCAGCGACUGCUCCAAUAACUGUACUACCUUGGUAGUAAUACAAGUUAUUUUUCCUGAUGCCCUUCAAUAUCACAAGUGUGCCAGAUGUCACUUUUAAAAUCCCAUCUCUCAUAGUAACAACUGAACCAUUGGAUUCCAAGGCUCCCAAUGAGAUGAGAUUUUUCUUCAAACUGGGCACGUACCGUACAUCAGUCAGAACUCUGGUUGAUCCAUCUUGAUUCUUUAAUUGGAUUGAACCUAUCCUAACAGUUUUACAGGCAUUGUCAUUGCCCAUAUAAACAACUCCUCCAUUUAGUUCUACUAAAUCAGAGAACCACUCCCGGUUAGGGGACAUAUGAUAGGUACAACCCGAAUCCAAUAUCCACUCAUCUGAAUGGAACGACGAUGAUGAUGCAACCAGUGAUAGUUCAGAGUCACUAGUAUCAUGCUUUGCAACACAAGCAUCUACAGCAGCUUUUCCCUUAUUCUUCAGCUUUGGACAAUUUUUCUUCCAGUGGCAUUUCUCAUGACAAAAAGCACAUUCAUCUUUCCCGAGUCUGGACUUUGACUUUGAUCUCCCCUUUUGAGUUUUCUUCCGAGUGUAUGAACGACCUCGGACUACUAAAGCUUCUGUAUCUCUGAUUGAGUUUUUAUGUUUGUCCUUCUUUCUCUGUUCAUAACUGUAUAAGGCCGCACAGACUUCGCUCAGAGAUAUAUCACUCCUGCCAUGAAGUAGAGUAGUUUCUAGGAACUCAAACUCCUCAGGAAGUGACCCCAACAGCAUCAAAGCCAAAUCUUCAUCUUUGAAUGCCUCAUCCAUAUUCAGCAAAUCAGUGACUAACUGAUUAAAUUUGGUGAUGUGAUCAUUCAUUGUGGUACUUGGGACGUAUGUGAAGCGAAACAGUCUUUUCUUCAAGUGGAGCUUAUUUUGACUGUUUUUCUUCAAAAAUUUUUCUUCAAGUGCCACCCACAACUUAUUUGCAGAAGUCUCCUUUGAAAAAGCAUACCUCUGCUCUCGAGAAAGGCAUGAUCGAAUUGUGCCACAUGCCAACCGAUUGAUCGCCUUCCAAUCUUUCUCCUGUACAUCAUCUGGUUUCUCUUCAUCAAUGGCAAUGUCUAGACCCUGCUGAAAAAGGGCAUCUAGAACCUCACUUUGCAACAUACCAAAAUGGCCCGUGCCAUCAAAGAUCUCCACGGCCAAUCUUGCAUUUGCAAUUGUCGGUCUUGUCCAUAUGGACCAUGUUGAAGCUCCUACACCGACCGUUUUCUCCAUAAUCUUUCAAUAUACCUAAGGAAAUCUUUUCUGAUGUGGAAGAUCAGUUUAAACUGCAACCACAGAGCAUACUACGAUUAACCUUCGGCUCUUGAUACCACUUGUUGUUCCAAUAGGGUCGGAAGCGUGUAAAUUAUUGUACUAAAAAAUCACACAAAGUUCAAUUCUCAGGAAAGAGAGGUGGAUCACAUGGAUCUCUUAAAUACCAAGUCUUUCCUUAGACAGAAUAUCCCUUCUAUAGUAAUUUAAUAGCACAAUUAAAUACUACUAUUAUACCCUCAAAUAUUGAAAGAAAAAUAGGAAAAGAAAGAACACAAGAGUUUUAACGAGGUUCGGUAAAUUAUACCUACGUCCUCAGGCACUAACACCAGAUGAUAACUUUACUAUCUCCAAAGUAUUACAAACAAAUAGAAUUCCUUAAGAAUUCUCAAAUGGGAGAAGAGAGAAAACUAAGAGAGAAAGAUUGGUUGGGAUGAAUUGAAAUGAGAAAUGAGAAGGCCUAUUUAUAGUUGAGGUUCAAGGACCAAACAAUAAAUAGCCCAUUAUCUCAAGGACCAAAAAAAAAAUUAUCCCUUGCCACUUUUCCAAAGUUGGUGGUUGUCAUUAUUGAUUGUCUCCCAUUAAUGUUAAUGGCAACCAUUAUUAAUUGUCUUCCAUUAAUGUUAACAAUAACCUAUAUUUGUAUGAUCAAAGCCUAAAACUUGAGUUUCUUGUUACCUAAUUUCUCCUUGAAAAUAAUGAUAUUUUUGUACUGCAUUCUUAACUUCAGCUCACUUUUUUUUUUUGAAUUCAUUAUUAUUAAGGGGGGAAAUUAAGUACUCGUACAAUUUUAUUUAAUAAAUUGUUCAAAUUUAUUUGUAUAUUUGUUCGAUAAUACUUUUUUCUAAUUUUGAACUUUUAUAGUGUUAAAUAAUUUUUUGGGGGGUAAUAAAAGAGGCUUAACAAAGCCUAUACAACAGCAGGGCUCCUAGUGACAGAAGAAUUUGUUGCAAAUUGCUUGUCAAAGGCAACAGCACCACCAGCAGAAGUCGGUGGAGCAGUGAAGAUGCAUGUUUCUCGAGGUAAUUCUGCCAAGCUUGGCCAUGAUAUCAGCAACCGAGUUUCGAUGACGAUUAAUGUGAUGAAAGCUCAAUUGCCAUUCUUUAGAACAGAAUUCCUUGAUUCCUCUGAUUUCAGAAAGACCAUUAGUUCUAGCAUAGCCACUACAAAUAAUGAGAUGCAACACUCCUCCAAUGAAAUAAUUGGAAUUCUUGUAUCCAACGUCUUUACAGCAUUAUCUAUUAGAAAUGAAUUUUCUAACAUUUGACUCCGUACCACUGAAAGAUUUAAUCGCACACUUGAAAGAUAUCCCAAAAAGUCGAGACAAUAUUUAGAUAAUUGAUUUAUACGGACUCUUCCUGGUUUAAAUUAAAUAAAUUCUAAUUUACUAAUUUAAAAGUUAAAGAAUAAAAAAUCCCUCCCCAAACCAUGCUUGCAUUUUUCAUUGCACAUGGCUUUCUCUAUGUAUCCAUCUAAAACCCUGUUAUCAUCUAACUGCAGAGGUCUGAUUGCUAUCAUGAACCGAGCCAUCUGAAUUAAUUUUGUGUUGAUUCCGACUUUGCUGGUGAUUUAGAUAAACGUCGUUCAACUACGGGGUACUUGUUUACUCUUGCGAAAGCCCCAGUGAGUUGGAAGUCUACCUUACAGUCUACAGUAGCUGUGUCUACUACAGAGGCAGAAUAUAUGGCAGUUACAGAAGCUGUUAAGGAGGCUAUUUGGCUUAAUGGAUUGUUGAAAGACUUAGGAGUUGUUCAAAGUCACAUAAGUUUAUAUUGUGACAGUCAGAGCGCUAUUCAUUUAGCGAAAAAUCAAGUCUAUCAUUCAAGAACCAAGCAUAUCGACGUAAGAUGUCACUUUGUGCGGGAAGUCUUUGAAAAAGGAAAAAUUCUACUUCAGAAGAUUCCGACAGCAGAUAAUCCCGCAGAUAUGAUGACCAAGGUGGUAACAACAAUCAAGUUUAAUCAUUGUUUGAACUUGAUUAACAUCCUGAGAAUUUGAGCACCUUCAGGUGUAUGGCGCUCGAGAGCGCAUUUGUAGCACUACAAAAGAUAGCUUUAUCGAAUUUGGGGAGUUGAAGGAAGUGUGUGAAGAUGUGAUUAUCCUAAUCAAAUCUUCAAGGUGGAGAUUGUUAACAUUAAUGGAAGACAAUUAAUGUUAACAUUUUGAUCCAGCCGACCUUGGAGGGACACCAGCAAUUGUUAUGAUUGAAUGUUAGAGUAGCAUUCCUCUUUGCAGAAUCAUGCUGAACGCUCUUAGCCAAGGAAAAACUCCUUUUAACAACCUCGAUAAUACUACUAUGAGAUCCAUUGAAAAUGACAUCAUCUUUAUUCUUCCAAAGGGGCCAAAUGACGAUUGAAAACAACGAGGGCCAAGAGACGCCCUCAACAGAUAGUCCACCAGCAUUUUUCCUCAGUCAUUCCACGACGCAAAUGCUCACCAUUGGUCAGUAAUCUGUCAGGUCCCAGUUCGCAUCUUCAACAUCCCAUUGAUCUUGGUUCAUACCUUUAUAGGUUUCCGAGACAGAGAAACGACCACUGUUUGACCAAGUCCAAGAAAGUUUGUCUACACCAGCAUCAGCAGGAGGCAACAUGCUUUCAAUGACAGACAGGAUGUUAUGGGGAGGAACUAUCUCCCAAUCCCAAUCAGCAUUGAGACCAACCAUAUUAGCGGCCGAUAUAUAGUCAUUCAAUGGUGAUCAUAAUAUUUAAAAGAAAAAUUAAUCACCAUAAGAUCAAGGGGUUUAAUUUUGGGAUUAAGUACACCUUUUUCAUCGAGAAUCAUAAUAUUGAAUUCCAUUAUGGCUACGAGAUAGGUAAAUCUGUAAUGUUCAACGCAUUGGCAAAUACUAUUUACUGAUCUUUAAUUUAGUGGACCUAUUCUACUUGCAACUACAAUUAUGUGUCGUUUUCUUUCGGUAAGAGCCUUUAAUGCCUCGGUGCUUCAAUUAUUUUCAUAAAUUUGGAUAGACAUCAGUAUAUGAAUAUAAAUUUUCAUCUCGGUUUUUUUUAAUUAAAAAUAAUUGGUUUAAUAUAUUAUUUAGUAUUUAAGGUUGAAAUUUUUUUAAUGUGUUAUUUUAAUUUGAUAAAAGUUAUAUAUUUUGGUACUUAAAGGUAACGUUACUAUUUUUUUUAAUUCGAGUUUUUAAGCUUGAUUUGAUGAAAGUUAAUUGUCAAUAUUACUAAGUUUGAAUUUUUCAUGAUUUUGUCAAUAAAGCAAAUUUAGUGCUAGUUAUGGAUUUGUUUAAUUUUGUGUUUAAUUUGUCAAAUACAAUGGGCUAGAUGUGAUUUAAUUCGAGUUUUAGGAUUGAUUUGAUGAAAUUUAAUUACUAAUAUUAUUAGCUAAUUAUGAAUUUUCAUCAAAUAAACUUUAAAACCCAAACUAAACACUAAAAAGUUAAUAAUAUGUCUAGUUUAGAUAAAAGUAAUAUAUUUUAUAUUCGGGAUCCGUGGCUAUCUCUCUCAAUAAUGUUAUUCUCAAGGUUUGAACCUACGUUUUCUCCUUAAGAGUGCAAUGUGACUUACCAUUACACCUAAGUUUCAACCACUUAUAGGUAGGUAUAUGAAUUGAUGAUUAGUGUAUUUUAUUUUUGUCACUAGAAAUUAUUUUUAUUCAUAUGUAAGGUUUUACUUCUGGAUGAUAUUAGGUAUGGCCCGAUCCAACAUGUUACUUUUGGUUGGUAUUGGGUACGGCCCAAAUAGAGAAUUUUACUGAAAUUUGAAUAUAAAAAAAUAAAAAUUUAAAAUAUAUGACUCCAAGAGUCUCAACCACCAUCACUUUUUUUCUAAAGUGGAUAUGAAAAUAAUAUCAUUGCAGGUUCAGACUUAUCCGAUGGCCAUCACCCCCAUUGCUCCAAUAUCCGGACCAUAUCAAUUACAACAUGGCCUUGCCAUGCUAUGGUAGUUUGAUAUAGGAAUCCCAAAACCAGAUAGAGUAGAUUUUUCAUAUCGGUUAACCUUUUUUGAUAAUUUUUUUAUCUAUUAUCAUUUAAUACGUGUUUAAUUAUCAUUUAUAAAUUAAUUCUUACAUUUGAUAAAUAAGUAUUACAUAUUUAAAAGGUGAUAAUUAAUAUUAAUUUUUAAAAAUUAAUAUAUUAAAUAUUAAUAGAUGAAAAAGUAAUGAAUUAUUUCUACUAAUAUGAUUAUGUUAGUUGACUCCACCUCUAUGUAAUAAUUAUAAUUUUAAAGUAAGUUUUCAAUUUGUAUUAAUUAAUCAGAUAAAUGUAAAAUAUGAUUUUUUUUGGUAGAAAAAAAUAUGAUUCUUUACUUCAUCUCGGAAGGUAUGUAUAUAUAUAUUAUAAUGUUAAGUAGCUUUUGUAAUAUUUGUUGGUUUUUGUUGAGGGAAAUUGUAUCUUUCAUUAUCAAUGGAAAAUAUUGUUUCAUUCAAGAAUUUUGUUUUUUACUCGAAGAGCAUUUUGAUUGAUGGCUAGUGUAGAUACAAUUUGUAAGUUCAUAGGAGAAGUACUUACAAUCUCGGUUGUAUCUUCAUCAACCAUCAACCAAGACACUCUUUUGAAUGUGACAAUACCUUCUGUCGGGGGUCCGAAAUCCAACUCUCCUCAACGCUUUCAUAUUUGAUUUAAAAUAUUAUUAAUAUGAUUCUGGAUGGAUUAAAUUAUUAUAAGAAAGAAAUAUCAACCAUCUGAAUAUUCACUACACCAAAACAGGUCUUUAGCGGCGGUCUUAGCGGCGUUUAAACAAAAAACGCCGCAAAAAAUAGAGUUUUAGCGGCGUCCAGAGACAAACGCCGCAAUAAAUGGUUAUUAGUGGCGCCACAAAACUUGUUUGCAAAACGGCUCCGUUUUUUGGUUACUUUAUGACUUUAGUGGCGCUUCCACAAAAACGCCGCAAAAAAUUGGAAUAUAGCGGCGUUUUCUGAGAAACGCCAGUAAAGAUAACAAAUUUGAAGAAAAAAUCUGAGCAAAACAAUACCGUUUUAUGGUUUCAUUUUAUUUCUUUAGUGGCGCAUUGUAAAAAACGCCGGAAAAGAUUGAAUUGGCAGCGUUUUCAGAGAAACACCGGUAAAGAUAUCUAAUUUGAGGAAAAAAUUUGGACAAAAUGCUACCGUUUUAUUGCUUCAUUUUAUUUCUUUAGUGGCGCAUUGUAAAAAACGCCGCAAAUAUUGGGAUAUAGUGGCGUUAUUGGAGAAACGCCGGUUAGGAUAUCUAAUUUAAGGAAAAAUUUUGAGCAAAACGGUACCGUUUUGUUGUUUCCUUUUUAUGCUUUAGUGGCGAAAUGUUAAAAAAACGCCGGAAACGGUUCGGAUUUAGCUGCGCAUAUUAAGAAACGCCAGAACUAGACUAAGUAAAACGGCUUCAUUUUAUUUCAGGAUAUUGAUUUAGUGGCACUUUUAAGUAAAUGCCGCGAACAUUUCGGCAAUACGACAUCGUCUGCUUUUCUUCUUUUGUGGAAUGUUCAUUAAAACGACGCCGCUUUUGAUUGUCUGUAUUGGUAGUAGCGGCGUUUUUGGUCAAAACGCCGUAAAAAAGGAAAUAAAAUUUUAAGUUUUAGGGAUUAAUAUUUAAGUUUUAUCGUAUACUGUUAGGGGUUUUAGGGUUUGUGGCACAAUAUUUAUUAUUUUAAGAUUACAGUUUUGUGUUCUGGGCUUAGAGUUUAGGUUUAGGGCUUGGAGAUUGAGGUUUAAGGUUUAGAGUUUACAUUUCAGCGUUAUUAUCGGGUUAGAGUUUACGGCUUAUAAGAUAAUGAAAUUUACUGUGUUAAGGAUUGAUGUUUAUGUUUUACGAUUUAGCGUUAAUGAUUUAAGGGUUACGAUGUAAGGUUUUAGCAUUUCGGAUUUAUGGUUUAUACGAGUUUAAUAUAUAUAUGUUAUAUAUGAUGAAACAGUUUAAUAUUAUAUACGACCAUUCAUUUGUUUGCUAAAAAUAGAGCAUAAAUUUAUAAUUGUAAGACAUUAUUGGAAUAGUGUGAAUAAUUAAUAAAUUUGAAUGUUAAUAGUAUUUAAAAAUCUAUUAAAAACAAAAAUACUUAUAAAAUAUUAUAAAAACUGAAUAAUUAGUGGCGUUUUAAACUAAACACUGCAAUAGAUAGGAUUUAGCGGCGCUUAGACUUAAAAUGCCACAAAGAAUAUAUCAAAACGACUUCGUUUUCCUUUCAGUAUAUUUCUUUAGUGGCGUUUUCUGAUAAAACGCCGCAAAGUUUUCUACAAUACGACAUUGUCUGCUGUUCUUCUUUGGUGGAAAUUUCGAUAAAACGACGCCGCUUUCAAGGUUGUUUCUAGUGGUAGUAGCGGCGUUUUCGGUAAAAAUGCCGCAAAAAAAGAAAUAAUAUAUUAGGGUUUAGGGAUUAAUAUUUAUAAAUAAUCGUAUACGGUUUGGGGUUUUAGGGUUCAUUACACAAUGUUUAUUAUUUUAGGAUUAAAAUUUUGACGACAUGGGUUUAGAGUUUAGGUUUAGGGCUCGGGGAUUGGGGUUUAAGGUUUAUAGUUUACAUUUCAGUGUUAAUAUCAUGUUAGGGUUUAUGGCUUAUGAUGAGAUAAUGAAAUUUACUGUUUUAGGGCUUGAUGUUUAUGGUUUACUGUUUGCGUUAAUGAUUUAAGGGUUACGAUGUAUGUUUUUUUUGCGUUUUGGAUUUAAGGUUUAUAGUGUUUAAGGUUUAGAUUUAAGGUUAGGGUUUUAGUGUUUAAUUAAUAUUUUGAUACAAAAGUCAAAAAAUUAAGGUACUUAUGUUUUUUACUUCUUAUUAUGUCAUUAUUAGGGUUAGAACUGACAAGGGUAUAAAAACAUAUAUAUAUAUGCAUGGCACGAUAUCACAUAUAUAUAUGUCGUUAUAUAUGUUGAAACACUUUAAUAUUUUAUACGAGUGUUAUCCAUAUUUGCUAAAAAGAGAGCAUAAAGUUGAAAUUGUAAGACAUUAUUGGAAUAGUGUGAAUAAUUAAUAAAUUUGAAUGUUGAUAUGUAGAGCCCAAAUAUGCCCGGGCCCAAUAAAAUUAAAACCCAAGACCCAAACAUCAAGCCCAAAAACACCAACAGCCCAGCAAGCCCAAAGCUUAACAAAAUUUCAGCCAAAUCAAAAAUCAAAAUCCUAGCCGCAUAGCAGCCACCAGCAAGACCCCAGCCGUCGCACGUCUCGGGACUGACCUCCUCCAUGCGCGCCGUUUUCCCCCACGUUCGCCUGCAAAACGGACUCAAGGAGUCCCAUAGAGAGAAAACAGUAAAGAAUAAUAGCAAAAUCGGGACAAAAGUUUGAUUUUUUUUUGGCUAUAUAAAGGCUGAUUCUUAUUGUAAAAAUGGGGAAGGAAAUUUUUGUUUUUUCAGUGUGAGAGAUAUACAAGAAAUAAAAAGAAAUACUGAGGAAAAAAUUUCUUGAAGGUGAAUUGGGUUUUUACAUUUUCUAUUCUGUUUAUUAUUAUUUUAUUUUGUUUUCUAAAGAAACAGUACAAAAGAGGAGAGGGAUAAUACCUUCGAGGAUUGGCCGUUGAACCACGUUCGCCUUGCUCAGAUCGGAGUUUGGCGGUGCGCUGGGAAUUGGCUCGCCUGAGAAUGGCGGCAGUGGGGGUUGGGGGUUAAAAAAAACCCUAGCAAAGAACUUUUUUUUUUCUCUGCUGCAAAUGAUCU
rnacentral:lncRNA from 1 species